CGCUACAAGAAAUUCUCAGCACAUAUUGAAAUGGGAGAGAAAUUUCAAGCCGUGUCGCAUACAUUCGUUUUCAAGCCAGACUAAGAAAACCAAAAUCAUUUGCCCAAGACUGUAUGAUUCAGAUAAAGCUCCAAAAGAAGAUGUAGUGUUGGAUUUGUUAUUCUCCAUCUGAACACAAUGCAUACAACAAAUCGCUUGAGUAGUUCCAAGAGCUUGGAUACCAAUUGUCAACAAUGCAAGCAUAGAAAAAGAAACCCACGACAAAUAAAAAGGGAAAUUCGUCAUCAGAACAAACCGCAUCAGUCAUUCCGACUUGCACAUUCACAUUGAACACAUCUACAGUCGAAUGCAAACUAACAGCUCGAUUACCGAGAUAAAUCCAACCCUACCGUCUCGUCAUCGAUCAACCGGUAGGUAGGCCCCCGACGGAAUCUCCUAGGGCAUCCCGCGUCGCCCCCCGACCGGACAGGCGGAAGGAGAAAGAGUGGGGGCGCGACUGAGCCGGAGCUGGAGCUGGAGGUGGAGGCGGAGGCGGAGGCAAAGGAGCUUUCGGUAGCCAUCAUUAUAGUUUCCGACGCCCCAGAAGAAGGAGCUUUCGGUAGCCAUCAUUAUAGUUUCCGACGCCCAGAAGCUUCAGCUUUUACCCGAUGAUCAAAAAGAGUCAAGGCUCAGAUAUUAAAAAUACCCUAAUCUCUUCCAUGUAGAAUAUUCAGAGUCCGAAUCCCUUCUCUCAAGUAAUUAAGUUGAAGUCAUGACCCAAUGUGACGUUUGGGAUUUCGCGGAUGAGGGACCAAUAUUUGCCGGUCCCCUUCCUGCAUCGCUCCUCGAGAAUCCCACAUCCCCAGAUACAGAGUUCUUCUAGAGAUGGAGGGAGGCCAUCCUGGGGCAACUCCCUCAGCUUCGGGCAAUCGAAGAAAUUUAAUUGCUCGAGCGAGGGAGGGAGACUGCUGGAUAGUCUUUUCACUUUCCCCAUACGUAAGAUAGAGAGCUUGAGCAGAGAGGAAGGGAGCGGAAGCACAAGAUCCUCCUCCUCUCCCACUCCUCCCAUGCUGCCGUCGAUGUCUAGGCAAUCAAGGGAGGUGAGGGGGGUAAGCCACUCCCUCACCGGCUGCUUCAUAUUCUCGCAUUUAGUCAUAGAAAGAAACUGUAGCUGGGGCGGCAAUCCUCCAUCAGGAAAGCGCGUAAUACUCUCACACCCACUAAUUACCAGAGUUUGGAGACUCGUGAGUCGAUGCAACUGAGGUAACGAUUUUAUCUUCGGACAAUCCCAAAGCCCAAACCACGAGAUGCCGGGAGGAAGAGGAGGGAAGCACUCCAGCUCCAGUGCAGGACACUCCCACAACCGCAAGUCAGUGAGAUGGGAAAGUGUGUCCAGCCCCUGUGGUAAGCUUCUCAAGUUCUUGCAAUGUCUAAUAUCGAUAUCUUGAAGUGAUUGUAGACGGUCUACACGUAUCUCCGCGAGUGACUCCACUCCCCUACACGACGAAAUUUCAAGUGCCUUGAGGGUCGCUGGUAGAAAACUAUUCUCGCUGAAUAGAAAGGCUGGUAGAGAAUCACAUCCGUAGACUUUUAGUUUUUGCAAACAAGACGUCAUGUCACCGUGAUUAUUGGCGCUGCUACUUGGUUCAUCCAUAUGAACACUUAAUCCUCUAGGUAAAGAUUGCAACAUCUCGCAAUCUCGGAUAUUUAAUGAUAUCAAUGAUGCCAACAUAUCUAUUUCGGGGAAGGACACGAGUUUUGAACAUUUCUUGAUGGUCAAGUCUUGAAGCGAGGAGAGGGUAUAAAUCUUGCUUGGCUGCUUCUCCAGAUUGAUGCAAUUCCGUGAGUCCAUAGUCUCUAGCUUGUUAGGCAACUCUAUAUCUCCUUCUCCAACUGAAAAUGAUAUCAAUUCCGGACAAUCUUCAACAACUAAGCUCUUCAGACAAGCGAGAUUCUGAAUUACAUCUCUCUCUUGCCACAAGUAUAUCAAAUUUUUACAACUUCUCAUCUCCAACUUCUCCAGCUUCACCAAAGAGCUUGUAAACCCAUAAUUUAAGCAAGUCAAUUCGACAACAUCUUGUAGGACAAGAGCAGUUAGAGAUGUGAAGUUUACCAAAUUCUUUAGCACGCCCUCAUUGCAACCUCUAAACUUUAAUUCAUUGAGGGAUGGAAGGCUAAUGAUAAAAGACGAGGCAUCCAUACGAGGACAGUAUAUGAUUUUCAACUUUUUGAGAGAGCUUAGUUGACUAGGCAAUCUUCCAAUCAACAUAGGACAAUUCCAAAUGACAAGAUGCUCAAGACAAGGGAAUAAAACUCCUACUUCUUCAUUGUCGAAGUGAUGAGACCAGUCCCCCCAUGAUGGCAUGUCCUUGAAUUCCAAAGUCAUUAAUGAUGGAAAAGGACUUUUGGUUCCAUAAAAUUCAGACCCUACUGUGCAUAUUGCAUUUAGACCUUCUAUAUACAGUUUUUUCAAAGAAGAUAGUUGUCCCAAUGAGGUUAGGGCCUUGGCCCAACAACACCUAUAUAAACGUAAAUGCACCAUCUUAUCAUAGGAGGGACUUCCUAACCAUGUUGGAAAUUCUAAGCCACCAUAGUAGGAUACUGUGAGAUUUUUAAGUUUUGGGUGAGGCCGAAGAAAGUCAAGGACUUUUGCUUCAAGCUCUUCAUUCCGAAAAUUUCCAAAAUCUUCGCACCAUUGCAUGGUCAGCCGGCAUAUUCCCUCCUUCAUGCAUAAAUUGGCAUCCGUGGCAUCUCUAGCUUCUCUAACCUUAUGCAAAUCAGAGAUGCAAAAUUCCCCUCCAAGAUUCUUUAAGUUUUUCAACUCCUUCAAUCUCAACCCUGUUUCCAUUCCCACUACAAAUUUAGAUAGAAACUCAAGACCCACCAAAUUACCUAUAUACAACGGCAUUGCUCUUAGGCUCGGAGUGUCAAUAAAGUCGAAAUUUUUUAGAUUUAUUAGUUUCUCCAUACCUUCUGGUAACUCAGUAAGAUUUCGACAUCCCCGCAACAUCAAGGCCUCUAGGUAGUACAAUGCAACAAUUGACUUUGGAAGGGUUUCAAUGUUAGUAUACGACAAAUUGAGGCACCUCAGGUGCCUCAGUUUGCCAAUGCAAUCCGGUACCUCUUUGAUGUAAUAGUGACAUAAUGAAAACACCCUCAAGUAUUUCAAUUCGGAUAACAAGUCGCCUAACACUUUCUCGGACAAAUAAGACUUACCAUAGGUAGGUUGCUUCGCCAACGAUAUGAAGCUCCUAAGUCCCUUCAUUUCAUGAUAUAUCUUGAAUCUUUUUGCCACAAUGUGACUACCGCAAAUGAAUGAGGCAUGACGAGCUAAAGAUGCAUUAUUUUGAUCACGUUCAUACUCAAACUCUCCUGAGCUAAAACAAGUUGCACUGGCAACUAGCUUUGCCAGGUCAUUCACAAGAUCAUGCAUCAAGAAUCGUGAUUCACUACUACUCGACUUUUGAAGUAACGAUCUAGAAACUAGCUCGUCGAAAAAUUUCAAACCUGCAUUCCAACAAUUCUUUCCUUCUUUUCCUUCCAACAAGCCCUCUGCAAUCCACCAGUGAAUCAACUCGCCUCAUUUAAUUUCAUAAUCCUUGGGAAAUAUAGCACAGUAAGCGAAACAUCUCCUCAAAUUUGAAGGGAGAUGGAGAUAGCUAAGUUUCAAGGCCGGAAGGAUGUCAUUACGUUCUUUCGGUAGGUCCCAAAUUUUGCUAUCCAAUAUAGCUUUCCAUUCAUGGGGACUGACUUUAAAGCUCAGUAACCCAGCCAAAGUCUUCACAGCUAAUGGCAACCCUCGACAUUUUUCCACUAUUUUCAUACCUAACCCUUCAAGAUCUGGAUGAUGAUCGAAAUUUCUGACUCCAAAGCAUGAAAUGCAAACAAAGUCAUACAAGAAUCUUGCGACAACUCUUUGAGAAUAUAGGGUUGAGCACGGGCUAUUUCAGCAACGUGAAAAUUACGAGUCGUGACAAUGACUUUGCUUCCCUUCAUUCCUGAUUGAAAAGGCUUCAAGAGGAUAGUCCAUUCUUCAUAAUUCUCAUUCCAAACAUCAUCUAGAACAACAAGAAACUUCUUCCCCGCAAGGUGUUCCUUGAGCUUACCAUGAAGCCAAUUUAGGUCCUUUCCUUCACAGAGCAAAUGGUCAUUCACUGUCUCAAGGAUCUUCUUUGUAAUAGCAAGCACGUCAAAAUCAUCGGAAACGCAAGCCCAUGCUUUCACAUCGAAAUUGUUGGUAACUCUAUCAUCAUUGUAGACUUGCUGAGCCAAAGCAGUCUUCCCAAUACCCCCCAUCCCCACGAUGGGAAUCACUUUUAGAUCUGCACAUGUCCUAUCUUCUUCUUCACCGGUCAACAAUUCAAGGAUCUUCAUUUUUUCAACCUUUCUGCUAACGAAACAAGGCUCGGGCAAACUUGUAGUGUGAAGCCGCUUAUCCACUCCUCCGUAUGUCACUCGCUUCCCGCUGUUCUCUCUCAAGCUCAAAGUAUCUUUCUGAGUGAUGAUAUCCUUUAAUCUGCCAUCCAUCUCUUCUAUCUUGGAUCUCAUUUUACGAUCGAACAUAAAUGCUUUUGGGCUCAAUCUAAAGCAACAACUCGGAAGAAGGGAACGUGCCUUGCUAGUGCCAGGUUCUGACUUGGACUUAUUUUCCAUGGACUUCAUGGCGAACUCGUCAAGCAAGUCUUCGAUGUCGUAGACCAAGUUCCUGAGAUCUUUAAGCCACGACUUCACAUCGAGAUCGUCGGUGAGUUGCCUAUCCUCUGCAUCAUCCAACACCUUGUUAAUGCUAAUCAGCAUCUUCUCCCAUUUCUCCAGCAGCGUAUAUAUACCCUCGCGCCGCGCAAAGUUGAGAACCUCUUGAGAGGCCAACCUUUCGAAGAGCACCGAAAGAAAGGCGCCAAGAAAGAGCUCUGCGAUGGGCAUGGCUUGGUUCGCGAGUGGCAGAGGAUUAAACAAGAGUGCUGAAAGGGUCGAAACAAAGUGCAGAGAGCGGAGAGGAAACAAAAGUUCUUCUGUCCAGGACAACAGGAUGAAAUGAUGGUGUGAAUCAAAGACUUUUUAAGCACUAAAGCACUCUUUCUUUCUCGGAAGAAGCUGCCGGUGCAUUUUUUUCCAUCUCGUCCUCGCUGAUUUCAUUUCAUUUCUGUGGACUCGAUUUCUCGGAAGCAAGUUGGUCGGAUGUGGGACCGAGUCUUGGCAUCAUUGAAGCCGCCAUGCAUUGAAAGAUCCAAAAAUUAUUCAAUUGAUUGCUCAACAAUUGUCCAGAAAUACUUGAUAAAAAAAUCUUUUUGACUAAUGGCUAGAAAGAAAAAACCGUGGUUGCUACUUAGCUACGCUCUCUGAAAAGUACAUUACGCAUUAGAUUAGCAGCCAAAUAUUGAGCGGCCAUAGAUCGAGUUAUAUUGCAAACUUUCAAGCACCAUUUUCUUUUUCCCUUUUAUAAUGAUUAUAUUCAUAACGAAGCCUCCUCAUUUUAUUUAGUCCGUGGGUCAUAUUAAAACGUGCUUACUGUUUUGCCAACCCAACCACAAUUCGUCCAUGAGGUAAAUAUUUUAUCCAAAGAUGGACAAAUUGAUAAGUUUAAUUAAUUACAAGGUUUAAGCGGUGGUUCAAGAAGUGGGUUAGCCUGAGGACGCUGUUUAAGGGGGGUUAAGAAAUGGGAGCGGACCUUACGUGGAGUUGCAGAAGUUAUUCUCUAUCUACCCUCUUCACCAUGUGCGGUUGCAGACCUCAUGUGCUAAGCAUCGAAAGAAGGGGAGGUGAUUAUAGCAGGACAUGUGCGAAAGCCAGGGAAUGAAACUUUGAUAAUUCAUGUAUUACUUUUCUAUUUUCAUUGCUCUUUUUGAGCAAAUAAUUUAUUUAUUAAACGCCAUUCUCUCUCUACCCUCUUCACCAUUCCCAGAUGCAGGCCCCAUGUGCAAAGCAUAGAAAGAAGGGUGAGUGUAUGGCAGGACAUGCGCAGAAGCCAAGGAAUCCAACUUUUAUAAUUCAUAUCUAACUUCCUAUUUUCAUUGCUCAUUUGUACAAAUAACUUAUUUUAGCCAAGGAAUCGAAUUUUUAUAAUUCAUAUUUUACUCCCUAUUUUCGUUGCUCUUUUAUACAAAUAACUUAUUUAUUACUCUCUCUCUCUCUCACUCUCUCUCUCUCUUCAUGUAUAUUACUUUUUGAUUUUCUUUGCUAAAUAAAAUUUUAGUUUACGUGUUGUUCUUUCGAUGUUUGAUCCCUUCUUCCACUCCUUCGCACGGUACUUUUUGUUGUCUGGCCUCUGUAUCUCGAUGCCAAGAGAUAUUUGUUCAUAGCGAAAUUAUAAGGUUGCUAUUGAGAUGAUGUCCUCCCCGAAUAAUGUGCAUGCUCUUUAGGGUGAAGUGCACUCCCCCACAAUAAAUCGGUCACUUUUUUAAAAGGAAGCGCAUGCUUCUCGUUAUAAUAUACCCUUUCAUUCAUAGAGAAAAAUUACCAAAAAAAAAAAAAAUAGACUUAUUAUAAUUAUGUAAUCUCAGUCCUAAGUAUUUUAAUUUGGUCAGGAAACAGGUUUAGGACUAGUGCUCAACCCAUGUUUAUCCUUCAACAGUGGUGGAAAGAUCUGAGAUGGUGGUGACUCUGACCAGUAAAGUAGACACACAUUUUUUAUGGAUCACAUUUGCUAUUACAUGCUAUUACUCAAUUCUUCAUAAGUCUACUAUUCUUGUCUUGAUUGAGGCGACGGGCUUCUUUGUUAUUUAACCUUGGCUGGUGACGACUUGGAGCAAUCUGCUACCAAGCUUUCAGCUUCCCAGGUAAUUGACUGAUUUUUAGUUAAGGUCUUAACUAAGGUUAAGCUACGGUGCUCCAUAGUCCAUCCGCAUCUCUUCUUUCCAUUCUCGUCGUUCGGGUCUCUAGUCACCAAAACUCGGCCUAUGAUAAUUAAAUAUUCCAGAAAAAAGUUGCUGUGUUUUUUUUUCUCCGCCGAUUGCUCCUUCACACUCCCCUUCCUUCGUUCUUGUUUGCACUCGAAUCUCUACACCUUCUUAAUCUCUCAUCGUUGAUUUCAUUUGAUUUAAUUUGAUGGGAGCAAGUUGGUCAAAAAUGGCACCCUAGUCUCGGCAUUAUUAAAGCGGCCGAAGGGCUGGAAUCAAGGCUAGAAUCAGACAAAAGGCUGCUCUCUCAAUUUCUUUCCCACUCAUUUUUUGUACCCACCCAUCAUCAUCAUGCAUCACGUAGACAUUGGCAUCAUCGUCUCAUUGACGCAGUCUCGUACAUCGGUCAUAUAAGUCACAACCAUUAUUCCAUAUUACAUGAGAACUCAAUGCAUUAAAAACUGUAUAAUUUACUUAGCUGGUCACCAAGUGUCCAGAAAGACUAGUUAAUAAUUUUUUUUUAAAAUAUUGGCUAAAAAAAAUCAUUACGUUCUCUUUAUUACUGUCAUCGCUACCUAACUUUACUCUCUGAAGGAUACGUUAUGCAUUAGAUUAGUGGCAAAAAAUUGAGUGGUCCGGAAUCGAAUUAAAUUGCAAACCUUCCGGCACCAUAUUCUAUCUUUCCCCUUUUAUAAUGAUUAUAUCCAUAGUGAAGCUUUCUCAUUUUAUUUGGUCCGUGAGCCUAUAUUAAAAUAUGCUUUUUUUUUUGUCAGCCUAACUACAAUUCGUCCAACGGAUAAAUAUUUUAUCCAAAGACGGCCAAAUUGAUAAGUUAAAUUAGUUAUAAGGUUCAAGGGGUGGUUCAAGAAGUGGGGGCCAGACAACAACAAGAAUUAUCGAGCGAAGGAGAGGAGGAAGGAGUCAAACGCCAUCCUCUCUCUACCCUCUUCAUUAUUGCCGGAUGCAGGCCCCAUGUGCAAAGCAUCGAAAGAAUGGUGAUUAUGGCAGGACAUGCGGCUCGGACACCACCGGUAACCGCUCCCCUACAUAAAGUNNNNNNNNNNNNNNNNNNNNNNNNNNNNNNNNNNNNNNNNNNNNNNNNNNNNNNNNNNNNNNNNNNNNNNNNNNNNNNNNNNNNNNNNNNNNNNNNNNNNNNNNNNNNNNNNNNNNNNNNNNNNNNNNNNNNNNNNNNNNNNNNNNNNNNNNNNNNNNNNNNNNNNNNNNNNNNNNNNNNNNNNNNNNNNNNNNNNNNNNNNNNNNNNNNNNNNNNNNNNNNNNNNNNNNNNNNNNNNNNNNNNNNNNNNNNNNNNNNNNNNNNNNNNNNNNNNNNNNNNNNNNNNNNNNNNNNNNNNNNNNNNNNNNNNNNNNNNNNNNNNNNNNNNNNNNNNNNNNNNNNNNNNNNNNNNNNNNNNNNNNNNNNNNNNNNNNNNNNNNNNNNNNNNNNNNNNNNNNNNNNNNNNNNNNNNNNNNNNNNNNNNNNNNNNNNNNNNNNNNNNNNNNNNNNNNNNNNNNNNNNNNNNNNNNNNNNNNNNNNNNNNNNNNNNNNNNNNNNNNNNNNNNNNNNNNNNNNNNNNNNNNNNNNNNNNNNNNNNNNNNNNNNNNNNNNNNNNNNNNNNNNNNNNNNNNNNNNNNNNNNNNNNNNNNNNNNNNNNNNNNNNNNNNNNNNNNNNNNNNNNNNNNNNNNNNNNNNNNNNNNNNNNNNNNNNNNNNNNNNNNNNNNNNNNNNNNNNNNNNNNNNNNNNNNNNNNNNNNNNNNNNNNNNNNNNNNNNNNNNNNNNNNNNNNNNNNNNNNNNNNNNNNNNNNNNNNNNNNNNNNNNNNNNNNNNNNNNNNNNNNNNNNNNNNNNNNNNNNNNNNNNNNNNNNNNNNNNNNNNNNNNNNNNNNNNNNNNNNNNNNNNNNNNNNNNNNNNNNNNNNNNNNNNNNNNNNNNNNNNNNNNNNNNNNNNNNNNNNNNNNNNNNNNNNNNNNNNNNNNNNNNNNNNNNNNNNNNNNNNNNNNNNNNNNNNNNNNNNNNNNNNNNNNNNNNNNNNNNNNNNNNNNNNNNNNNNNNNNNNNNNNNNNNNNNNNNNNNNNNNNNNNNNNNNNNNNNNNNNNNNNNNNNNNNNNNNNNNNNNNNNNNNNNNNNNNNNNNNNNNNNNNNNNNNNCAGUACUUCUUGUUGUCGUCUGGCCCCCAUACCUUGAACCAGCUAAGUACAGGACGUCAAGAGAUAAUUGUUUAUGAAGAAAUGACAAGGUUCCUAUCGAGAUGUAGUUCUAUUCUGAAUGAUGUGCAUGCUUUCUAGGGUGAAGUGCAUCCUCCUCACAAUAAAUUGCUCACUCUUUUAUGGUGAUUUGCACGAUCUUGUUCACAUUAAGUGCAUAAUCCUUAAAGGCCAAAGUGCAUCUCCUUCUUAGAGUCAAGUGAACACUCGUUAUAAUCAAGAGUGAACUCCUUCGGGUGUUUGAAUCAGAAACGUGCCUCUUUCAAUGAGGAGCAUGCCCCUUAAGCGGGUCAAUGUUGAUGAGGCACUCAUAAUGUUCCUAUUGUUCUAUCAAUUUAAUUUCAGAAUUAUGUAGAAAGUCAAUGUUCGCUUUCGAUUGUUGUAGGAACUUGUUAAUCCAAACUAGAUCUUAUCCAAUACAAUUAUUUGUGAAAUAGAGAUGAGACUUUUCUAUUAUUUUAACCGUUGUUCAAAUUUCAGUGUAAGUUCCCACCUUAAAAAUCCCAAUUUAGAGCAAUUGACCCUUUUGUGCCUUGACUCAAAAUUGAAGCAGGGGUCAUCUAUCCAGUGGUUACAACUUAGCCCCUAUCUAUACUGUGUUCUAACUCUAGGGAAGGCCACGAUUAAGAGUAAUCCCAUCCUCUCAUUUCCAACAAAUGGUCUCUUCUUGUACGGCUCUUUAGAUGAUCAUGCUCUCCAGCAAAAUAUUAAAAAGUAUAGUUUGAUUGAUUGAUUAAAUUGGAAUACUAUACGUGUGUUGAACUUUUCUUAAUAUGAUGCGUAUGAUCCAUUUGUUUGAAGGUCCAUUUGUAGUAUGCUAUAUCACUUGGCAUAUCAAUCUAAUUGAUUGUUCCAAAAAUUGUCUAGCUUUGUCAUCUUUACAAAUGGAGAGCCCUAAUUAUCAUUAGUGAUAAAAGUUCGAUAAAUCGGCUCAUUGUGCUUACUUCUUUGAUAUUCUAUUCCCCUAUUUUUUCCAUAGCUCGAACAUAUUCAUUCCAUUAACAAUAUGGUAUACUGCAUAGCAAGGUCAAUCAUCCUUCAAACACAAAAUUGAACAUGAGAAAAUACAUAGGAUCUUCACAUCAAUCAAAUUCUUACUUUUAAUCAAACAUUAGUUUAUUAAGACAACCAAAUAUGCCCAUAGUAGUCAAGUCGUUUACAUAGGAAGUUCAAAAAGGUCAAUUGAUAAUGAGAACAUGAUUAAAAUGCCACCAUUUUUUCAAAGUUCCAAUAUCAAAUGUUAGGAAUUUGAAGUUUUUAUCAUUUCUUGAAUUUAUUAUACUUAAUAGGGUAAGAUUGACUGUGAUUCCCAAUAAGGAUCCUAAUAUUUUACGGUGUUCUUUAUUGUGCUUGAGUAGAAUGUUUUUCCCAUUGUUGUAGCAUCAUGAGAUGGUGGAAUUGAUUGGCUAUGACAGGUGCGCUACACAAGGAAGUAGCAGGGCCAAGACUGGCAGCAUCGUCUUAUGUUAGCUUUCUUUAAUAUGACUUCAGACGAAUGUAAACCCACUCGAACACAAGUUGAAAACAAGAGCAAAUCCUUUCAAAGGGAUUCACAUUUGAAGCAAACUUAGCUAAACUAUAAACUGACUACAUUGCCUUGCUUCCGUUUUUUACACCUAUACAGCAGAACACUGAUACCCUACCCCGUCAGGAAGAAGCUCUCAGCACCACUAAACAUGCGAGUCGAAAGACUUUUGCAUCGGCCCAACCAUCCUCCCUCCUCCUCUUUCGUAUCUGUUGUUCUAUUUCAUCACUCUCUGUCUCUCUGUGUCUCUGUCUUUUCGUUUGUUGGCUUUCUCCUAUCGUUUUUCUUGGUCUUUCUCAAAGACACUGCCGUUGCAUUUCAUCUCGUCUCAUUUGAUUUUUAAUUUCAUUUCAGUUGCCUCAAUUUCUCAGAAGCAAGUUGGUCGGACGUGUGGCCAAGCCUUGGCCAUCAUUAAAGCCACCAAAGAAGGCUCGGAAGGUUAAGAAGUGGGAUCAAAACUUCUACUUUAUCAUCGUUCGUCAGUUCUCUCCCACCACUCGCAUCACAUAAAGUCCCAAAUGCACCCAUCCACCAUCGUUAUCUCGUUGAUGCAGCCUCCCGAGCCCCAUCCCAUUAUCAAAUAAAUGAGCAGUUACUACCUAAACUUAAUUAUGUAAAUUGGAUCAUCAUUAAUCAUCAAUCAUAUGCAUCCCAGACACCAUUCCACGUAACACGAAAGCCCAAUACAUUGAAAUCUCUCAAAUUUUCGUAGUUGAUUACUGAACAAGUGUCCAAAAACACUACAGCAAAACCAUUUUUAAAUGAUGACCAGAAAGAAGAAAAAAGGUUAUAUCCUCUUAAAAUAUCUAGUUGUCACCUAGAUAUGCUCUCUCAAGAAUACACAAUCAGAUUAGAUUGGAUGGAAAAUAAACCAGGUGGCUACAGAUUGAACUAAAUUGCAAACCUUCAAGCUUCAAUUUGUUUUUUCCCCCUUUUUGUCAAGCAAUAAUGAUUAUAUUCAUAACAAAGGUUCCUUGUUUUGUCCCAAGAAGAGAAGAGCAACCUAGCUUCAAUAUGCCCACCAGCCAUUCAAAUAGGUGGAAUUUGAUAUCUACUUAGUUCAUGCCCUAUUAUUAUAAGUGUGCAUAAACAUUACAUCAGCAAUGCAAAAAUAACCAGAUCCCUAAAUUGUAGAUUUUGCUAUGGUGUCACGUCAUAACAAAUGAUCGAUGAUGGCUUACGAAGGUGGACUAAUUGAAGCGUGUGAAAGUUGGUUUAGGCACCACUUGAUCACUAAAUACAAAAAGAAAAAAAAUAUCAUAAAUAGUUCAUGUGUCUCAAGGUCAAAUAAAAUUUGAAAUUUCAAGGUUGCAAUGCCAAAUAAUAUAUGCUCAUGUUUAAUUAGAAGAACAGUGAGAGUACCUAACUAUGAUCCGUCCACCCACUAAAUUUUCAUCAAAUGUGGACAAAUCAAUAAAUUUAAUCAAUUUUGCCCUAUAAAAAUAGGGUGUCAAAAGAUAAUUAUUUAUAGAGAAAUUUACAGGUCCCUAUUGAAAUGCAUUCCUAUACUGUGCAUUCUCUUUAGGGCAAAGUGCACCCUUUUCACGACAAGUUACAUAGUUUUAAGGUAAAGUGAAUGCGUUUUGCUCUGAUUCAAGUCGAGCGCGCAUUCUUUAAAGGUCAAGCAUAUGCUUCCUAGGUAUUUGAAAACCAGGGCAUGUAAUUGUUUUUUUUUUUUUUUUGGUAAAGAAAAAAAAAAAAUCUACUCUUUGUCGACUCGGUGCUUAGAAUAGAUCCAGGGAAAAACUACCUUCUACCUUUCUAGAGUUCUAACGGUUAAAUACUUGACACAUAAAGGAGAAUUGUAUGUCUGUAUUCUUUGAGUUUUCCAUUAGGGUAGAUGCAAAAUACUUGAUUAUCAUGUUUCCACCAAGUUUUAAUCCACUUCUUGCCUAACUCAUAAAAAUAGUAGGUUAAUCUAUGAAUUUAGAAUUUACCUAAGUAAUGUAACUUCCUUGCUGUCCAUAAAAAAAAAAUCAUGUUAGCAAAUAAUCGUUUCUAUCGAAACUUAUUAAAGAUAAGUGUAAUUAAGGAUGACCUUUUUGUGGCUUUUUCUGUGGAAAUUGUGAAAUAUUCUUGUUGGGAGAAGCUUCUCCAAAAUCUGGCCUUUGCAAUCACAAGGCAGCUUCUGAAGAACUUCUCGCUUAGGUAGGUGCAUUGCGCCCCUUUGUCCAUUGUGAUCAGUCUUUUUGGCCCAACAACGAACCCCCCCCCCCCCCCCAACCCAAAAAAAAAAAAAAAAAACACCGCCCAAAGAAAAACAAAAAAAAAAAAAAGUAGAAGAAGGACAAAUUUGUGAAUACUCUCAGGUACAUUCAUUGAUGAGGCCACGAGAGCAUCGUGGUCGAAAUACACACGCGUUACGUAUUUCUAACACUGAAUCAUCCUUAAUGAGGGGAUUUCAAUCGAGCAGGUUAAUAUAUUACAUUCCGUGAUUAGUUUAGAGAUUUUAUUAAGUACCUUUGAUUUAGCUUAGGUUUAGGUAGAUUGAUCUCUUGAACAAAAAAUUGGACUUAACUCGAACUUAGCUUAUGGAGCUUAUUGUCUCGAUACAUGUUAUUAACAAGUGAGGUGUCAUCCCAUGCCCCGCUUAGCUCCUAAUUAGUCUUAAUAGGCUAGCGUGCGAUUCUAUAUAAGCUGGACUUUUUGAAUUUAUCUAUUUCAAUUAUAGUUUCCUAAUGUCAAGCGAGAUAAGAUUUCAAAAGGAAGGACUCAAGUCAUUUUGGAACCAUUAGUCUACUUUUGACAUUAUUUCUAAACUCGUCAAAUCUUGACAAUGCUUGUACGAGAGGGUCACUAGAUAGAAAAAUAUUUUUCAAAUUAUUUAUUUUUAUGCAAUAAACAAUUAAUAAAUUUGUUUUUCUCACUUUUCUUAUCACACUAGAACAUCCAUGGAGCCAUAGAGAGGUGAGUAGGAGAUAUUCCCCAUGCCCUUAAUAGAAAACAAAAAUAGAGCGAACAUGUCGUAGGAAAUACUUCUUUGUUGAAUUCAAGCUAAUCAAAAUCUUUUAAAUUAAUUUUUCUUGUGAUAGUUUUUUUUUUUAAUAUGGAAUAGCUUUUAAAACUUCAUAACCAUGAUAAACACAAUACAUGGAAUCUUCCAUAAGUUUGAGAUUUUACCUCAAGACGAUGCAAUAUAUCAUAUAAUAUGUUUAAAAGAUUGUAUCGAUUCAAUAUAAAUUUUUAUGAUACUCUUUAUAUCCUUUAUCUGAUUUAAUAGCUAAAAUUGAUCCUACCCCUUAAUUAAUACACAAGACUCGAGAUUAAGACAUUCUAUGCUUUCAUUUUUGACACCUAAAUAGUCUUGAUUUUUUUAUCACAUUUUGAUUUAACAUUAAACUUCUAUAAAUUUCUUGGUUUUUUUUUUCUUUCUUUCUUUCUUUUCGUCUUACUCAAUACAAUUGUUACCAAAAGUUAAGGUUGAAAAAUGACACAAUCGUUGGGCCCCACUCGCUCCUCAUCUCACCGCCUCCACCAGGGUUCCUCUUCCUCCGCCGCCGCCGCCUCUCCGCCGCCUCCAGAGCUUCUCCGUCUCCCCCGCCGCCUUCUUGCUCCCUCAUUGGUAGUUAUAUUCGGUGGUUGAUUCUGUUGCCCCGUUCGGUUAAAGUUCAUUCUAUCUGUUCGAUGAAAUGCCUAGAUCAAUAGACAUUUCAUUCAUUCUAUUACCUCACGCGAUUAUGUUAUUAUAUUUUCAGGGACCCUGUUUUUUUCAGGCUUGAUCCGAGAGUACCUGGUCUCUAGCGUGUCUGAGUACUUAUCUUUUCAUGUUCCAGUAGUGAUGGCUAUAGAUUUAGUAGUACUUGCUGAUCCAUAGCGAUGUGCGGGUCAUCCACUCAUUUGAUUUGAUGGAAUAACUCUUCUUGACAGUCUAGAAGAGGGGUUUUGCGGGGGGGAGAGAACAAGAUGCAUCUGUAUGACUGCGUGCUUUUGCUGAAAUCCCAUGUCAAGAAGGAAGCUUUGAUGGAUAUGGUGGCUCGGAUAGGAAGAGACGUCUAUAAGAAAAACGGGGUCGUCACUGAGGUAAAAUCAUUCGGGACGGUCCAGUUGGGUUAUGGUAUCAAGAAGCUUGAUGGGCGAUUCUUUCAGGUGAUUCUUCUGUUGAAAUUCGAGCCCUUCUGCUUGCUUGUUCCGAGCUUUCCAUCUAUGGAUAAUUCUCUUGUUGGCUUGUCAAUUCAUGUCGUGCUUGUGAUAUGCCAUUAGAUUUGAUUCAUCUUCUUUGUUUAAAUUCCUGGUUUAUGUAACUUGGAAGCUACAAAUGAGCUAUCUGGUUUGACAGAAUGACGGAGAGUACUCUCUAGAACAAGAUAACGUAACAGAAUAUGACAGAAGAUGAUGCAGAAAUGCUGAAUCUAUUAGGUUUCACAACUGGAAUGCAACGCGACCAUGUAUUUGGCUGGCUCUUCCCCUCAUGUUCGAAGUAGCAAGCUGCAGGAGAAAUUGAUUAUGUUGGCACAUACGUCGAGCAAAAUUAUCCUAGCUUAUGAGAAAAUCUCAUAAUGUGAUAAUGUCUUCAGCUGGCUCCUUGCCUUAUGUUAGGAGUGGAAGCCAUAGGAGAUGGUAAUUAUACAGGCAGAUAUGUUGGAACAAAUAUUAACUAGCUUAUGAGGAAAUCCCAUACUGGAUUGGAGUUGUAUGUUCGGUUUUGCACUGAUGCUGUUACCAUCCUAGCUUAUUGCUAUUAAUACUUACCAUGGUCAUUUUUUCAUCUAAGUUAAUCGAUGGCUACUGUAGCAAUUGAUGGAAGAUUUAAUUUUGCAAUGUUGGUCUGGCAGGAAAAUCACACCAGAGUUCACUCUACUAUUCACUCACUUUCGAAGUGGCUAUUCAUUUUCAAACUUUCAUUCACUUUGGUUUUGCUUUCAAUCGAAUAACUUUGGUGAUUGACCUGCAAAAAACUCAUUGGAAACCUGAUUCGACAGCUGGUUUUGAUCAUUUUAAUCUGAUUUAGAUAUUAAUUUGAAAUGCUAGUAUGAGUUCAAUAUUAAACUCUAGUGACUGAAAUGAAAGUUGAGUGAGUGGCAAAGCAAAAUUACCUACAGUUGACUGACCUACAAUGAAAGUCUAAUAAAAACACAUGCACCUUCCGUGUCAAUAUUACAAUGAUGCCAGGUCAAACUUCUAAUGGGAUAUUGAAUGGCUAGUCAACAGAGUGACCUUAUGGAGAACAAAACCAAAGUUGAGUGAUCUAUAUGCUGAACUUGAAAGUUGAGUGAUCUAUUUGAAAGUUAAAAGUUGAGUGAUGUAUAGUGUAAUUUACCCUUGUCCUGGCAGUAAUAUGUACUGUUUGGAUGGGCUCUCUAUCUGCUACUCUUCCUGAUGAAGCAUUAAGAUGAUAUUUAGUUGGUUGCACUUUUACCUUGUGGAGGAAAGAGGAUUCUAGGUCUCUUGCUAUUUCUCUCAUGUUGAUUUCUUUGAUCUAGACACGGAUAUCACUUUUAUGUUUCUGUUGCACACCACGCAGGGUCAGAUGAUGCAGUUGACCAUGAUGGCUUCACCAAUGAUGAGCAAAGAGCUGCAUUACUUGAAUAGGGAAGAUAGAUUAUUGCGCUGGCUUCUUGUUAAUGCCCGAAUUUUCUUGUUAGGAGAAGCUUUACACUAACCAUUGAAAUCACAUGGCAACUUCUGAAGAACUUCCUGAUUAUGUACGUGUAUUACAUACGUCAAAUCUUUGACUUAAUGGCUCUUUCUCCAUUGUGCUAAACUUUCUGGGCCUAAAAAAGAAGAAGAAACCGUGACAAAUUUGCGCAUAGUCUAAUGUACAUUCAUUGAUGAGGGCACAAGCAUCGUAGUUGACAUACAAACACAUUACAUGUUUCUAAUGUUGAACCAUCCUCAAUGAGAGGGUUUAAGUCGAGCACAUACGUGUCAGAAUUUCGACAUCUCUUAAUCUUGGAGCAGAUAAAUAAGCUCUCGUUUCCAUCUUCUGGAGCUUAUCUUGGGGAGGUUGUAGUGGCUUAUUUUGUGCCACCGUUGCCUAAUCUCAUCGCUAGUGGACAUGAUCAAAACAAGUCUUUACUUCUCCCACUUCAGUCUUGACUUGAGACACUUCAAACUGAACAUUUGACACCAUUGUGGUCAAAUGUUUUAAGCACGUCAAAUGUUUUAAGCACCUCACUUAGGGCAAAAGCAUUUUUUGUUUGCCAAAUCAGAACAAACUCUGCGAGGGUGAUCCUUCUGGAGUUUCGGGCUCAUAUCAAAUCGUGUUUAUAAAUUCUUCCAAGGAAGAAAAAUUUUAUGGUUGAAACGUGCAAAUACGAAGCAAGUCUAAUUGUUAAAUUGCCCCUUAUGCUGUAAAACCACCGAGACUAAGGACGUUAGCAGAAUAAUAACUUACCGAAUCUAAUGAUUUAACAAAUAUUAAACACCUAUUGAAAAUGAAUCUCAAUGCAAAACCAACCUUUCAUGUAAAUUUUAGAUUACAUGCCUUAAACUAAGAUUAACUUGUAAAAUGUCAUGCACAAUUUCCAAAAGAAUAAUUACCAAAAAGGUCAUUAACAUAUUGGACAUAUGUCAUUACAGUCAAUAACCUUUCAAUUUGAUCACAUUUAAUCAUAAACCUUUUAAGAAUUUGUCAAUAUAGUCAUUUCAGCCAAUUUUAGGCAAAAAUUAUUAAUGGGGAUACUAGCUAUCUUACAUGGCACAUCGAAACUCGGAUCCUCACCGUCAUCGUGGACGAUCUAGACUCUUAAUCUCUGAUCAUCUCAGGUUCUGAUCCAUCGUUUCUCGCUUCAUCGCCGAUAAUCUGUUUGCCGAAUUUUCCCCCGAGAAGCACGCGAUGCAGAGGAAGGACUAAGAAGCUGAUGACACGAGAGAGAAAGCGGAGCCGUGAAACAGAGCAGUCGCUCGCCAUCGUCCAACGCAGCUCGACCGUCGGCUUUUAAUGCUCAUGGCCGGACGCAGCGAUUGCGAGUUCAGGCGAUGACGAAAUCCAUCCGCUAACGGCCGCACUUACCCAGGUCAUUUUCGGCUACUGCAUUGCAAAAUUCAACCAUCAGAUUUCAGCACUACAGAAAAUGCAAGAACAGAAUGGGAUGUAUCCCAGGCGAUCGAUCCUACAGGUUUAGCUAAUGAGAGAGAGGCCCGUUGCAAGUUAGAACAGCUCCUAAGCUUGCCAUUAGGAAAUGCCGAACUCGGGCAGGUCUUUACUCUGAAAUCAAGAAAGGAGGGCCCUAAAUAUGUGCUCAUUGUUCUUGCUUCUUCGUAUCAGAUCGGCUCUCACUUCUAAACUCAUGCAACUAUGCAGGCAACUUUUCUAAACUCAAGUAGGAACUAAUGCUUUCUCAGGAUACUGCACAAAUUAGAAGUUUAUGGGCUGCAUUUUACUUUAGAUCAAAGUACAUGAGGUAUUUAUGUUAUUAUCUCUAUUAAGAAACGUGAUUGGUUGAUACAAAAAAUAUAUUUUAUUCUGGCCACAUCAUGCAAACAGACCGGCUUGGCUAGAAGAUGUAGGCUACAAAAAUUGAGAGUUGGGCCCAAGGGCUUCUAAGAUGGUGCAGGAGAUGAAUGACACCAAGAAGGCCCUCAAAGAAUGGAACGACACUUUCAUUCGAGUCGGAUGGUCUUUUCCACCCUUACAUCUGCAACAUCGUAAGAAAAACUAUAUGGAGGUCGGUACAAAUUACAAGUUUUGUCUGUUGCAACAGUUUAAGAUGAGUUAUUAUGCUGAUGUGAUUGACGAUCUCACUGUAUGAAGUCUAUAGCUAAACUUAUACGCAAAAAAGAAAAAUAAUAACUACGGGUAGAUUGCUCCAGGAUCCAUUAAAUUACAAUGCUGGAGUCAUAUUACCAGGUACAAGAACUAUAAGAUAUGACCUCUAAGGAAAAUUAUAAUACAAGGAGUAACAUCUCUUAAGACGAAGUCAUUUACAUUUAGAGGAAGUAAUUUAAUUUACCUUUUGAGUAAUUUAGCUUGAAAGUAAAGUUGGCUAUGCAGUAUAAAGUUUGUAAAUUAUAUUUUGUGCUCGUAAAUUAGCUUCUUAUACCGUAACGCUCAGUAACUUGCUAUAGCAGGUCAUUUUAUAUAUUCAUUGCAUACAAUAGGGGAUACGGUCCCGCACUUUCGUAUCAUUGCAUAUUCAUUAUCAACAAAGUGCAACUUCAAACAUUACAGUCCUCCGAGACUUCUUAAGUCGGUCUCGAUCCUCAGGAGCAUCAAUCCUCCUCGACAAUGAACUGAAUAAAAACCGACAUAUAUAAGUUUUGAACCGUAAUAUUAAGCUCUUCAUUGCAUUGACGCUUCUGUGAUCCUCCUCAACAUGUAGAUGCAAAAUGGGAGAACCAGAUUCUAACCAAACAAGACAGCUCCCUUUACGUUUUCACUUCUUCCCUCGCGCUGCUCCUCCGUAACAUGCAGGAAAAAAGGAACGGACUGAUGGGAUCUACUCCCGUCACUACAGGCAUGAACUCAGAUCCCGCUCAGUGCGCAAAUGUCUCAUCCACUCAUAAGCGGAGGGCACAUCAUGACAGGGACGACCUUUCCAGUUUCUCUCCAUUAUCCUUCUCGCCAGGGAAACUUGCUUCCCGACUGCAGAGACGAAUAUUUUGCCUUUCCCUCCAGCACCUCUCUCUGUGGCGGACAUAUUCGCUCGGAUCGCACGGGAAAUCGAAGAGAAUAACAUGGUCCACUCCAGUAGAGUCAAUUCCUCGUAACAACCUGUCAUAUGGUUGAAAAAUCAUCAGGAUCUUGCAAAUACCUAAGGAAAGAUGAGAGUGACAUGUCUUAGGUAAAUUCAUGUGUGUCCAGUGACCCUGCUCUGCCUUUCGUUUGACUGUGUCGCAAACAGUGCCGUUAAAAUCACUAGGAGCUGUUAAGAGACUCAGACCCCACAGUUGCCUCAGGCGCUAGGCUGAACAAUGAGAGGUGCCAACUAAAAAGAGGGGAUUAAUCCAUCAACAAACAAAUUAUUAGGUCUUUCAUACUUAGAAUCACAAGUUCUUCCAGGUCUGCAUUGUAGCACAUAUUGCACUGGUGCAAAGAUGUUAACAUAGACAAAUCUUUUCUAAGGCAAUACCUCAGAAAAGGAGCACCUCAUCUCAGGUGCUUACCUUAAACAACGAAACCUUGCCUGAGAUGAGGUGAGGAGCAGAGGCUUCGCCUCGCUUUGCCUAAGGGCAUAGGUGAGUGCCUUGAGUGUUAGCUAACACUCAGCUCUUGCCUAUCCCAAUUAUUCACAAAACGCACAAGACGGAACAAGGCCUAUCCCAGCCACUGCUAUUUUCAUCUAACUCUUGUUGAGACUGACUCCAUUAGUAAAUGUGCAAGCUUGAAUUGAGAACUGAAGGCCUGGGUCUUGGCAGGUUAUGCAUGGUUUAACUUAAGGCUUACUUUUAGGGAUCAAGCUCGGCUGCAGAGCAGAUAUAUUUCUAGAACCAUAGUUUGAUUGGUAUUGAACAAAGCAGCUAUACAUACCCGUCGCUGCAAACCAAAAACAAGGGAACAUCUUUAGAUGGAGAAGGGAAAAAACUCUUUCAUAUUUGCCCGCCGCAACUCUUGUGAAAUAGCAGCAUGAAAAGGUAGUACUCGUGUAUCAGCGCCUUUUCUGUCAAUGCGCUUCAAUGCAUUUUCAGCUUUUCAACAUGUCUCAAUCUGUAUAUGGAGAAGAGGACAAAGUAAUGAUGAAUCCUCCAUUCAGGUUGCUUCAGAACCUCCUCUCAAACUCCGGGUUAGGAGUCAGUGAAAUGGUCGGGAUAGAGAAGGAAAUGUAAUGAUGAGUCAAUUUCAAGCAGCCUUUACUGAAAGAUCAACAUACCUCGUUACAGAAAAAAAAUUGUUUUGGUUACGGGGGUUUCUUCCACAAACUGAAUGAAAGUAGACUUCUUAUUCAGGAAUGCAGUAUCUGGAGUCUUUUCACUGUUUUCUCUCCAGUACAAUCUAUGAGAAACUGGACAUAAUAUGUAAUUCUUAAAUUCUCCCCUAUUACAAUGUUAUUCCGUUAGUUUUCUUCUUAACAAGAAAAUAAGAGGAAUGGCACUGGUUAGCUACCACAGCAAAUUUAUGCAACAUGUUCAUUAAGGGGGAAGGACAAAGCAAUUUCAUGUAACAGAAGAUUACUGUUCAACCCGCAUGAGAAAGCUCUCUAGGAUUAAUGUUGCAAAAAUAAUCCUUCUCCACUAUAUGCAACCUAAAUUAGUUUGUACAAUUCCUCCAUACAAAGUUAAAUUCUGAGAAUCAAUGAACUGGCAAAAUGAAUAGAAACAAUUUCCUGGACAACAGCAAAAACUCUUCUGCAAAUUGAGGAAAGAAGAGAAACGGAUAGGACCCUAAUAUAAUCCUCAAUCUCUCAGCACAAUCAAUGAUAGGACCCUAAUGUAAUCCUCAAUCAUCUUAGCACAAUCAAUGAAAUUUCAGAGACUUCUGCUGAUAUUAUUUCUCUUCACCUCCAAGCAAAUUAAAUGAUUUACAGAAUGCUGGUGGCACCUUUAGAUGCUGGUGGCACCUUUAGAUGGUAUAGACUGCUUUUGGCCAAAAAUAUACUAUAGACUACUAACACGCAUGUGUUAAGAGACAUUCAAGGAAAAAAUUUUAUUCCACUCUUCAUCCACUUUUCAUCUUCCCCAUCAAUAUGUGGUAACAAUCCACCCACAAAACCAAAGCAUCAACAUAAAACCAUGCUCCAUCACUUUUAGGGAGCAUAAAUGACAGCUUAGUUAUGAGUAAUAUAUUGUCCAACAGCAUCCCCAAAAAAAAAAAAAAAAUGUACAGCCACAGACUGAAUCCUUUUGUGCCUAAAUUUGAUAAUAGUAAUGUAUCCAUUAGCAAAUGACGGAAAGGGGAAUAAUACAGCUUUAGACCAACCUCUGCGAGGUGAGGGCUUGUCCGAUGAAUGCCAGGUCUCAUGAUCACUUCACAGACGGGAAGAAAGUCAACUAUUUUGUUAUAUAUAUCUACCAGCAAUGUGCCCAUACCAAACAGAUACUGGGUGGCGACAGGUGAAGAAUUGAUUAUGCUUUGAAACGCUGCUUCAAACUCCUCAUCAUUGCAGAGUAUAUCCACCUCAUCCAAAAAUAUACUGAGCAUGAAGCCAUAGCUUAUAGCAGCAGUUGCAAAACAAUCUGCAAUAUGUACAAAGAUAUCAUUCUUCUGUUAUUGAGUACAUUAUAGCCAAAUAGAGCUCUUUGUUUGUAGCAUAGCAUGGAGUAAAAUCUGCUGAAUGCCAAAAUUAUCCAGGGUUUGAUGUCAUUCAAAUUCUUAGCAGGCAAAUCCAUAAACAAAAGAUUUUUUAACUUCAUAUCCUAUAUCAAAAAAUAUGACAGAGUGUGUCAAGUGGAGCCUUCUCAAUUUGUCACCAGUCUUUUCUCAAAGAUUUCUAUUGGGGCUAACGAAUAGCGAUAUAUCCAACAUUUUUUUAAAUCAAAGUGAAGUUCUCCGUAACUCAAGCCAGAAAAUCAAGAUUCAGCUGUGUAUGUAAGAAUAGAAAUUUCGCGAAUGUUUUCCUUUCCUCAAAGAUUCAAAGAAUGGUGAUGAUACACGGUGGAAGUACUAAAUCAGAAAACAGUAGGACGAUCACAUUCCUUACUCAAAAACAGAUGAGAAGAUGAUGAUUUUGAAUAGCUCGUGCACCCAAACUUAUUCAUGCAACAUUAUACAAUGCAUAGGCUUACCAUCUAAGAUCCUUCAACUCCAAAAAGCCUUCUUAAACAAGAAAAAUAAAGUGACCAGGAGUCGCUAUUAGGACAGCAACACCCUCUUCUAUACUUUCCAGCUGAGUUUUCUGCCUGAAACCACCUGUGGCAACCAUAGACCAGAAUGGAGCCCCAACCUUCGAUAUGGAUCGGCAGUUACUCAAAACCUGCAUAAAACUCACCACAGAUAUUAAGUAUCACUCGUGGGCGCAAAAAAAUUAUGUUAUGUUUGUCAUCCACUAUUAGCGAAAACAAGCAUUACUGUACAUAAAACCAACUAUAGAGUAUCUCCAAAUUAAGAACACCUCCAUUUUCAACAGCUCCAAGGAGAUUACCAGUUUUGCCUCAUAAAUAAAUUAUGCACAUCAUUAAGCAACUUUGCCACUUCAAUUGUAUAUAUGCCUUUCCAGGAACCCAAUACGAUCUUUCAGAUUGCAACACUUAGGAAUCUCUUUUUCUUUUUUCUUUUUAUUCCUUUUUUGAAAGAAGAAAUGACAAUUUGAGUAUUAUAGGUGGCAAGUUGUUAAAAACAGGUUGACUACCACCGAAUAUGAGUUGGAGUGCUUUUUUACCACAAAUUUGCUUCUUAAGCAAUAGCCUAUCACAGCAUAGGAUGAGAGCUUAAAUUGGCCAUAAACUAGUAAAAGUUGAUCAGUUGCUUGCCAAAGCAUGUAAGGGUAAAGGAAUAGGCACAAGAAAGGACACCAACUACCAACCUGUAAAGCUAACUCAGCAGUAAGCACCAGAACAACAACUCAAGGGCUUUGUGAGAAUGAUUUGCUAGGUCCUUGCAGCUCUUCCUACCUGAGAUGUUGGCCUAUUAGUGCAAGAUAAGCCAGCACUUUUCCUGAGCCACUCUGAUCAGCUAUAAUACAAGUCUUUCCGUCAAUUACAGGUUUGAAUGCCAUCGCUAGUAGUCAUCCAUAGUUAGCAGCAAUAUGAGUUGCAGUACACCAGGAGAAGACCUUCCUUUUGUCAAGGUGUAGACAGAACACCUUGAAGUAAAGGCAUCCAUGGAAAUCCCCCUGCCCCAUCCUCUGAAAUUUGAAUUCUGCAUUAGAACUGCGAAGUGAAGGCUCUGUUCCAACUAUUCAGGUGGCAGAUAUGCCUUUUUUAUUGGUUUCCAUUAGGUGCACUGAAUGAUCCAUUUCUUCUGUUUCAGUCCUUGCUGCGGCGUCUUUGGCAGCUUUGGAUUAGUAAGCACCUGAUAUCUUUCUUCCGAGUACAAGGAUAGCUGCUUCCUCAUUUUUCCCCAGUUGAUCCAAUUUGGAAAAAGAGAGAUCAUGCACAUCAAAAUGUAGAUUUUCUGCUGCUGGUUCAUAAUCUUUGCAACUCACUUGAUUUAGCUUGGAAGAUUUUUCAGCAACAGAUUUGACUCUCAGCGAAUUCAGUCGUCCAAACCUCUGCCUAAACCACUCACACUUGCUGUAGGAGAAUCUCAUCUUUCGGCAGGGUUGACCCAUGAUGAGUGCCUUUUAUUAAAAAAAAAAUUACUGUCAGACUUCAUUUUAUCGCUGGAAAAACCAAAUUCAUCUCCAAGUUCUGACUUUUACAAAUUGCACAGAGGGAUUUAGUACGCUACAAGAAAAACUUAGCCCAGAUUAAUAUGGGAGAGAAACUUCCAACUCUGUGUCGCAUAUAUUCGUUUUCAAGCCAAACUAAGAAAAACCAAAAUCAUUUGCCCAAGACUGCAUGAUUCAGAUAAGCUCCAGAAGAAGAUGUAGAGUUGGAUACGUUAUACAUCUCAACGCAAUGGCCCAGCCGCGGCUUUUGCGCAACACAAAAUGCACAUAACAAAUUGCUUGAGUCGACCGACCCAAAAAAAAAUAAAAAAUUGCUCGAGUCGUUCCAUCGGCUUGGAUACCAAUUAUCAACGACGGACUCACCGGGAAAAAAAAAAAAAAAAAAAAAAAAAAAAAAAAAAAAGGGAAUUCGUCAUCAGAACAAAUCGCAUUAGUCAUUCCAACUUGCACAUUCACAUCAAACACGUCUACAGUUGAAUGCAAACUAUGCAAGCUAACAGCUCGAUUACUGAGAUAAAUCCAACCUUACUGUCUCGUCGUCAAUNNNNNNNNNNNNNNNNNNNNNNNNNNNNNNNNNNNNNNNNNNNNNNNNNNNNNNNNNNNNNNNNNNNNNNNNNNNNNNNNNNNNNNNNNNNNNNNNNNNNCCGCCGCCGAUGGCUGGGAACCUUAGCCUAUGAACAUUGACCAGACCGAUUCAGGCGGGCGUAUAAUCUAGAUAACCAUGUUAACUUCAGAAAAAGAAAUGCAAAAAAAUAAAAACAUGGUGAGAAAUUGUCAGUAUAGGAAGAACUAGUACAUUUUUCUCUCCUCCUCCGUUUCUUUUUCCUAGUUCAACAACCCUAUAUGCCAUUCACAGCACUGACAAACGGAACACCAAGCAGAACCCGCGAGCUUAGAGCUAUAUCAUUCACAUUCUAAACCACAACAGCACCCUCUCCACACCUCUCAUCCUCAAAAUCACUCCUCACCCCCAAACGAAACCGCACGAACCCAACUAAUCCCCAUCGCUGGAGGGGCCUUGGACAGGGUGGCUGGCCCUCGCCGGCCCUAGGCGAGGGCCGGUGACUGUCGCCUACCCUAGGCGAGGCUCACCAGAUCUCGGCAAGGCUCGCCCAGGGCGGGCGAUGGCCGCGAGGCCUCGCCUGGGCGAGGGCCGGCCACCCAACCUAGGGCCAACGACCGUCACCGGCCCCUCCGACGAUGGGCAACCGCGGAAGUCCACCAGUGCCUUUUUUUUUUUUAAUAGUUUUGUUUUUUUUAAAUAAAUUUAGAUUUUCCUUUUUAUUUUUUAAUCUAAUUUUUAAAGAUUUUGAAUAAAAAAUAAUUUAAAAAAUCCAUUUGAAAAAUAAAAAAAUCAUUUAAAAUAUGACGUCAGCGCCACAUCAGCAAUUUAUGUUAACUUUCUUAACGGUGUUAAUUUUAGGACUCAAUUGAAUCAACUUGACAAGUUUUGGGACUUAAUUGCACUUUUUGUAAGUUUUAGAACUCAAUUGCACCUUCUUGACAAGUUUUAGGAUUUCUGCUGAAAAUAUCCCAUAAUUUAUUUAUUACUCUCUCUUUCACUCACAUAUUAUUUAUUUAUUACUCCCACUCUCUCUCUCCAUAUGUAUUGCUUUUCAAUUUCCUUUGCUAUUUUAUUUAUAGUUUAUAUAUUACUAUUGUUGUCUUCUGCCCCAGUCGCUCAAAGCAACCCAGCGGUCACACCUGCCGCCGGUGGCUGGGAACCUUAGCCUACGAACGUUGACCAGACCAAUUCAGGCGGGGCGUAUUAUCCAGAUAACCAUGCUAACUUCAGAAAAAAAAAAUGCAAAUGCAAAAAAGUAAGACAUAGUGAACAAUUAUCAGUAGAGGAUGAAACUAGUACAUUUUUCUCUCCUCCAACAUUGACAAACAGAACACCAAGUAGAAUCCGCGAGCUCGGAGUUAUAUCACUCACAUUCUAGACCACAACAACACCCUCUCUCCACGCCUCUCUUCCUCAAAAUCACUCCUCACCCCAAAUGAAACCGAACCCAACUAAUGCCCACCCUGCACCAAUCGAUUCCGAGCAGAGACUCCCCACGGAACCAAAUCGAAUCCCCCGCCCUAAAAAGUAAAUGAAACCCAACCAAUGCCUUCACCAAAGCACUCGACCAACCAUGAACAGGUCAGGGGCAUCACUGAAAAGUCAGCGCGUAAAAGCAGGGCGACCCAGAAGGCUCCUUCUUCCUGAUGCGCGAGUGGCGGGCGAGCCGGUCCUCUCUCCGGGUCUUGGCCGGGGCUUCGACGGCGAAGAGAGGCUGGCGCUGCGGCGGCCGCUGCAUUGGGACUGUCCCGAGGAAUUUCGGGCAGACCGAGACCGAGAGAACGUUCUGGGAGGAACCCAGAAAGGGACUCUGGCUGAGGAACGAGAUUGAAGUAGAAGCAGCCAUGGCUUAUCGCUGUGCAAGUGCGAGAGACAGAGAGCGAUGCUGACGGAGAAGAAGGCACUCAUUCCCUCUACGUUUCCGCGACGCCUUAUCCUUUUCGACGAAUUGUUUGGGAAAAUUGCGUUAUGGUCCUCGUAAAUAUUUACGGGUUCGAUUUUGGUCCUUUUGCCAAAUAUUCGCGACGGAUUUCAUUUCAUGCCGUCUCUCGAGAACGAUCUAAUAGGAACAUUUUUUUCUAUUUUCACAUUUCCAAUUAAGAACUGAACUGCAACAAAAUGGAGCCAAUGCUAAACUUUUUCCACUCCUGGGAAAGUUGUAAAGUCCAGCAGGUUAUUCAACGCCCCACCGGAUUUGCGGCUAAAUAAUUUCAUCCAUCAAAUCAAUUAUAAGAGUUGUACCGAUUAUUGAUUAUAUAAGUGAUCUAUUGACAUUUAAGGUUAUCAUGACCGUAGGGGUUGUAAGUUUUACAUUUGAUGGAGGAAGAAUGCAGCAACCUAGUGUAUUUAUUCAAAAAUAGGCUACAUUAAUUUAGAAACUUUAGAUAAAUGUUAUCAUCGUUUUGGUAAAUAAUUAUGAAUAGGGAAAAGGAAAAUUACCAUAAAUUCAAGUUGCAUGCUAUGUCUUCAGUGAAGUUACGAUUUACAAUAACUUAAAGUGAUUUAUUAUCGGUAAUUAUUAAUUGUCAUUCUUAAGCAACGUAAGCUACUAAUGCCAUUAUGAAGUUACAUUCUUUGAGGUGAUAAUGACGAGUGAUGGCAUUCUUACUUUAAGAGCUCUAUAGCUAAGUUAGUACUCCAAAAGGAAAAGCACUAGCUAUAGAUAGAUCGAGAAUAGGACAACUCGAGACAAAUUACUGUGGUUGGAGGUAUAAUCAUCAAAACUGUAUCGUGGAAAAAUUACAAUGUUGUCGGAUAACGACUAGGCGCUAGCAUUAUUGAGAGUAUUAUGGAAAUUCAUGAGGGGAAGUUACUGACUAUAAUAAAUUACUGAUUAUGACCAUUUGAGGAAAAUAAUGGUAUUAUCGAAUAAUUACUAGUGACAACAAUAUGAAGUUACGAAAAGAAAGCAAUCUACAAUUAUUGAGGUCAAUAUAGAUUACAAGUUACAUCCGUUGCGACAAUUUAAGCUAAGUUACUAUGCUGAAGUGAUUGAGAUUCUCACGGAACACAGUCUACAGCUAAACCAAUAUGUGAAAAAUAAAAUCCUUAACUCUAGGUGCAAUUCAAAUUACGCCAAGAUCAGUUAAAUUUCAAUUACUAAGUACAAGAACUAAAAAAUAUGACCUUUUUAGGGAAAUUAUAAUACCAUUGAAAAAUCUCUUAAAACGAAGUCAUUUACCUUAGAGGAAGUACUUUAAUUUACCUUUGAAAUGAGUAAUUUAGCUUGUAAGUAAAGUUCAUAAAUCAGCUUAUUGUAUCAUGGAUGCAAAAUGAAGUACGUAAAUUAUAUUUGGUGUUCGUAAAUCAGUUUCUUGUAUCGGAACGCUCAGUAAGUUGCGACAGAAGGUCAUUUGAUAUAUUCAUGGCGUACAGCAGGGGAUAGAGUCCCGUACUUUCCUAUCAUUGCAUAUUCAUUAUCAACAAAGUGCAACUUACGGACAAUACAGGCUUGGAGACUUCUUAAGUCGUCUCGAUCAGCAAGAGCAUCGAUAUGCUCCUCGACGAUGAAUGGAAUAAAGACCGAAGCAUAGAGGUUUCGAACCUUGAUAUCAAAAACCCUUCGUUGCAUUAACGCUUCUCGGAUCUCCCUCAACAAGUAGAUGCAAAAUGGAAGAAUCAGAAUCUCACCAAACAGUGAUCCCCUUUACAUUUUCAUUUCUUGCCACGCCAUUCCUCUAUAAAAUGCAGGAAAAAAGAAUGGACUGAUGGGAUCUAUUCCUGUCGCUCCAAGCAUGAACUCGAUCCCACUUGGUGCACGAACGUCCCAACUCAUCAGCUCAUAAGCAGAGAGCAAAUCAUGCAAGGGAUGGCCUCUCCAGUUUCUCACCAUUAUCCUUCUUGCCAGGGAAUGCUUCCCAACUGCCAAGACGAAUGCUUUGCCUUCCCCUCCAGAACCUCUUGCUGUUCUUCCAACACGGCGCACAUAUUCGCUCAGAUCACACAGGAAGUUGAAGAGAAUAACAUGAUCCACUCUGGUAAAGUUGAUUCCUCGUGACGCCCUGCCAUAUGGUUCAAAAAUCAUCAGGAUCUUGCCAAUACUUAAGGAAAGAGGACAGUGACAUGUCUAAGAUAAAAUUGUAUGUGUCCAGUGACCCCGCCAAUAGUUAAAAGCGCCAGCCUUUUAUUUGACUGUGUCGCAAACGGUGCUGUUAAAAUCACUAGGCGCUGUUAAGAGGCUCAGACCCCACGGUGCCUCAGGCGCUAGGCUGAACAAUGAGAGGUGCUAAGUAGAAAGUUGGGAUUAAUCCAUCACAAAACAAAUUAUUAGGUCUUUCACACUUAGAAAUCACAAGUUAUUCGAGGUUUGCAUCAAAGCACAUAUUGCACUGGUGCAAGAUGUUAACCUAGACAAAUCUUUUCCAACGCAAUACCUCAGAAGAGGAGCGAGCACCUCAUCUCAGGUGCUUACCAUAAACAAAGAAACCUUGCCUGAGAUGAGGUGAGGAGCAGAGGCUUCACAUCGCUUUGCCUGAGCGCCUAGGUGAGUGCCUUGAGUGUUAGCUAACACUCAGCUCUUGCCUAUCAAAGAAAUUGAACUGAGCCCAAUACCAGAAAACUUGCAACUAUAUAGGCCCAAUCAUUCACAAAACCUACAAGACAGAACAAGGCGUAUCCCAGCCAAUACUAUUUUCAUCUAGUUCUUGUUCAGACUGAAUACAUCAUUAAAUGUGCAAGCUUAAACUGAGAACUGAAGGCCUGGGUCUUGGCAGGCCAUGCAUGGUUUAACUAAAGGCUCACUUUUAGGGAUCAAGCUCGUCCACAGAACAGAUCUAUCUCUAAAGCAUAGUUUGAAUGGCAUCAGACAAAGCAACCAUACAUACCUGUCGGUGCAAACCAAAAACAAGGAGACAUCUUUAGAUGGAGAAGCAGAAAACUCUUUCAUAUUUCCCUGUAGUGACUCUUCUGAAACAGCAGCAUAAAAAGGUAGAACUUGUAUACAAGUGCCUUUUCUGUAAAUUCGUUCAAUGCAUUUUCAACUUUCCAAUAUGUCUCAAUCUGUAUAGAGAAGAAGAAGGAUGAGUUCAAAGUAAUGAUGAGUCCUCCAUCCAGGUGGUUUCAGAGUCUUCUCUCAAACUCCAGCUCGGGAGUUGAGGUGGUCGGGAGAGAGAAGUUAAUGUAAUGAUGAGUCAAUUUCAAGCAGCCUAUACUGAAAGAUCAACAUACCUUGUUGCAGAAAACAAUUGUUUCGGUUACUGGCUUUCUUCCGCUAGCUGAAUAAGAGCAAACUCCUUAUUCAGGAAUGCAGUAUCUGAAGUCCUUUCACCGUCUUCCUCUCCACUACAAUCUAUGAGAAACUGGACACGACAUGUAACUGUCAAAUUCUCCUCUAUUACAGUGGUAUUCCAUUAGUUUUCUUCUUGACAGGAAAAUAGGAGGAAUGGCACUGGUUAGCUACCACAGAAAAUUUAUGCAACAUGUUCAUCAAGGGGGAAGGACAAAGCAAUUUCAUGCAACAGAAGAUUAUUGUUCAACCCAAAUGAGAAAGCUCUCAGACCAUCUAGGAUACUGUUGCGAAAAUAAUCCUUCUCCAGUAUAUCCAGCCUAAAUUAGUUCGUACAAUACCUCUGUACAAAAAAAAAUGAGAAUCAACAAACUAGCAAAAUGAAAUAAAAACAAUUUUCCGUACAACUGCACAAACUCUUCUGCAAAUUGAGGAAAGAAGAGAAACAGAUUAGACCCUAAUAUAAUCCUCAAUCCUCUCCGUACAAUCAAUGAAAUUUCAGAGACUUCUCCUGAUUUUAUUUCUCUUCACCUCCAAGUAGAUUAAAUGACUUACAGAAUGCUAGAGGCACCUUUAGAUAGUUUUGACUGCCUUUGGCCAAAAGAAUAGUCUAGACUACCAAUACACGUGCUAAGAGUCAUUCAAGUAAAAAAUUUCAUUCCACUCUUCAUCCACUUUCCAUCUUCCCUUGUCAAUAUGCAGUAACAAUCCACCCCCAAAUCCAAAGCAUCAACGUAAAACCAUGCUCAUCACUUUUAGGGAGCACCAAACAACAGCUUAGUUAUGAGUAAUAGAUUGUCCCAGAGCAUCCAGAAAAAUGUACAGACACAAAAGUUAAUCCUUUUGUGCCUAGAUUAGAUAAUAGUAAUGUAUCCAUUAGCAAAUAAUGGAAAGGGGGAUAAUAUAGCUUUAGACCAAACUCUUCAAGGUUAGGGCAUGUCCGAUGAAUGCCAGGUCCCAUGACACUUUACGGUUGGGAAGAAUUUCAACUAUUUUGUUAUAUAUAUCUACCUGUGUGGUGACAGGUGAAGAAUGGAUUAUGCUUUGAAAUGCUGCUUCAAACUCUUCAUCAUUGCAGAGAAUAUCCACCUCAUCCAAAAUCAUGCCACAUCGUAAAGCCAUAAAUUAUAGCAGCAGUUGCAAAACAACCUGCAACAUGUAUAAAGAUACCAUUCUUAUAUAGCUCUUUGUUUGUAGCUUAGCAUGGACUGAAAUCUGCUAAAUGCCAAAAUCAUCCAGACUUUGAUGUCAUUCAAAUUCUUAGCAGGCAAAUCCAUUAGCAAAAGAUUUUUUAACUUCAUAUCCUAUAUCAAACAAUAUGACAAAUGGAGCUUUCUCAAUUUGUCAAUUGUCACCAGUCAUUUCUUGAGGAGAUCUAUCAAGGCUAACAAAUAGCAACAUAUAGAGCAAUUUUGUAAAUCACAGCAAAGGUCUCCAUAACUCAAGCCAGAAAAUCAAGAUUCAUAUGUAUAUGUAAGAAUAGAAAUUUCGCUAAUUUUUUCCUUUCCUCACAGAAUGGUGAUGAAUCAUGGUGGCGGUACUAAAUCUAGAAUACAAUAGCACAAUCACAUUUGUUACUCAAAAACAGAUGAGAAGACAAAAAUUUUGAAUAGCUCAUGCACCCAAACUUAUUCGUGCAACAUUAUACGAUGCAUAAGCUUACCAUCAAAGAUCUUUCAACUCCAAAAAGCCCUCUUUAACUAGAAAAAUAAAGCAACCGGGCGUGGCUAUUAGGCAUCAAGACCUUCUAUAUUUUCCAGCUGAGUUUUCUUCCCGAAACCGCCCAUGGCAACCAUAGACCAGAAUGGAGCCCCAAACUUCAAUAUGGAUCAGCAGUUACUCAAAACCUGCAUAAAAUUUACUAUAGAUAUUAAGUAUCGCUUAUGUGGGCGCAAAAAUUUAUGUCAGGUUCAUCAUCCACUACUAGCAAAAACAAGCAUUGCUGUACAUACAACUAACUACAGAGUAUCUCCAAAUUCAGAACACAACCAUUUUCAACAACUCCAAGGAGAUUACCAGUUUUGCCACAUGAGUAGAUUAUGAACAUCAUUAAGCAACUGUGUGCCACUCAAAUUGUAAAUUUGUCUUUCCAGAAACCCAGUACAAUCUUUCAGAUUGCAAGGAAUCUCUUCUUUUUUCUUAUUUGAAAGAAGAGAUGACAAUUUGAGUAUUAUAGACGACAAGUUGUCAAAAACACACUGACUGCCAACGAAAAUGAAUUGGAGUGCUUUUUUUACAACAAAUUGGCUGCUUAAGCAAUAGCCUAUCAUAGUAUAAAAUGAGAGCUUAAAAUGGCCAUAAACUAGUAUAAGUCAGUGACUUGCUUGCCAAAGCACGUAAGGUAAAAGAAAAGGCACAAGAAAGGAUACCAACUGCCAACUUGUGAAGCUAACUCAACAGCCGGCACCAAAAUGACAACUCGAGGGCUUCAUGAGAAUGAUUAGCUAAGUCCUUGCAGCUCUUCUUGCCUGAGACGUUGGACUACUGGUGCAAGAUAAGCCAGUGUUUUAUCCCAAACCACUCUGAUCAACUAUAUUACAAGUGUUUCCCUCAAUUACAGGUUUGAAUGCAAUCGCCUGUGGUCAUCAAUAGUUAGCAUCAAUCUGAGUUGCAGUACAUAAGGAGAAGUUCUUUCCUUUUGUCAAGGUAUAGAUAGAACAUCACAAUGCAAUUACUUAUCAAUACUUAUGCCAAUGAAAAGACAAAAACUGAUGCUAUAGGUUGGCCCCUCAGUGACUUCCACAUCCAUCAGCUCCAAAUUCACAUUUACAGAUAAACAAUUAAUGAUGAUGAAUGCAAGCUUACAUCUAGAACUAUACAAAAACAAGGUCAUCAUUGAUUUGAAGCUCAAUGUGUAUAUUAUCAAGAGAGUAGAUAUAACGAGGAUUAGAAUGUGCUCAUGUUUAGUAUACUGCCAGCUAAAACAGCAGUAAGGAAGCAAUGACCAAGUUCCUUUUAUUUUCCCAACAGAAAAAGCAACAAGCUGAAAACUUUGACUUGAGUAGGUCAUACUAUUGAUGUACCUGAAUAUGUGAGGGGCGAAGAAAAUGCUGCUUCCUCAAAGAUUCAAUCAUAGAGUCACUACAACCCAAAUCUUCGAAGGACAUUCGACCAUGGAAGUCACUAUUGGAGGAAACUUUCCUAUGCAAAGUUAGAUCUUUGGAGUCAGAUCUAAAGUCAUCCAUGGACACCCCCCUGCCCCAUUUUUCUGAAAUCUGCAUUAGAACUACGAACUGAAUGCUCUGUUCCAACUACCCUGGUGGUAGAUAUGCCAUGUUUAUUGGGUUCCUUUCAGUGCACUGAACGAUCCAUAUCUUCCAUGUCUGUCCUUGCUGCAGCGUCUUUGGCAGCUUUGGAUUGGUAAGCACCUGAAUCCUUUCCUCCACGUCCAAGGAUAGCUGCUUCCUUCUGUUUACCCAGUAGGUCCAAUUUAGAAAAAGAGAGAUCAGGCACAUCAAGAGGUAUGGUUCAUAAUCUUUGCGACUCGCUUGCUUUAGCUUGGAAGAUCUUUCAGCAAGAGAUUUGACUCUCAGCAAUUUCAGUCGUCCAAAACCACUGCCUAGACCACUCACGCUUGCUGUAGGAGAAUAUCAAAAAAAAAAUGACUUUCAGACUACAUUUUAUUGCUGGAAAAACCAAAUCCAUCUCCAAGCUCUGACUUUUACAGAUUGCACAGAGGGAUUCAAUACGCAACAAGAAAGUCUUAGCACAGAUCGAAAUGGGAGAGAAGUUUCAAGUUCUGUGUCGCAUACAUUCGUUUUCAAGCCAAACUAAGAAAACCGAAACCAUCUGCCCAAGACUGUAUGAUUCAGAUAAGCUUCAAAAGAAAAUCUAAUGUUGGAUUUGUUAUCCAUCUGAACACAAUGCAUAUAAAAAAUCGCUCGAGUUGUUCCAAGAGCUUGGAUACCAAUUAUCAACAAUGCAAGCACAAAAAAGAAAGAAAACUCCAACAAAUAAGAAGGGAAUUCGUCAUCAGGACGAACCACAUCAGUCAUUCCGACUUGCACAUGCACAUCAAGCACGCCUACAGUUAAAUGCAAACUACGCACAAGCUAACAUCUCAAUUACUGAGAUAAAUCCAACCCUACCGUCUCGUCGUCGAUCAGCCGGUAUGCCCCCGCCGGAGUCUCCAAGGGCCUCCCCCCUAAAAAAAAAAAAAAAAAACACCGGACAGGCGCAAGGAGAAAGAGUGGCGCGCGAGUGAACCGGAGCCGGAGCUGGAGUUGGAGGCGGAGGGGUGUGGAGUUAAGGCUGAUUGGGAGGCGAAGGCGCUUUGAGUAGCCAUCAUUAUACUUUUUUGACGCCCCAGAAACUUCAGCUUUUACCCGAUGAUCAAAAAGAGCUGAGGCUCAGAUAUUAAAAAUCCCAAAUCUCUUCCGUGUAGAAUAUUCGAAUCCGAAUCCCUUUUCUCAAGUAAUUGACUUGGAGGGGUAAUCACCCAAUAUAACUUCUGGGAUUUCGCAGAUGAGGGGCCAAUAGCAGCCGGUCCCUUCCUUGCAUCGCUUCUCCAGAAUCCUACAUCUUCCGAUCCAUAGACAUUCUAGGGAGGGAGGGAGGCCAUCCUGGGGCAACUCCCUCAGCUUCGGGCAAUUCCAGAUACUUAAGGUUUGGAGAGAGGAAGGGAGACUGCUGGAUAGUCUUUCCACUUUCCCCAUAUCUUUGAUAGAAAGAUAGAGCAGAGAGGAAGGGAGCGGAAGCACAAGACCCUUCUCCUCUCCCACUCGUCCCGCGCGGCCGUCGAUGUCCAAUUCUUGAAGGGAGGUGAGAGGGGUAAGCCACUCCCUCACCAGCUGCUUCAUAUUCUCACAUCGAGUUAUAAUAAGUCUCUGUAGCUGGGGCGGCAACCCUUCAUCGGGGAAGCACGCAAUACUCUCACACCCACGAAUUCUCAGUCUUUGGAGACUCGUGAGUUGAUGCAACUGAUUAGGUAACGAUUUUAUCUUCGGACAAUCAUCAAGCAAAAUUGUCGAGAUGCCGGGAGGAAGAGGAGGGAAGCACUCCAGCUCCAGUGCCGGACAAUUCGACAACCACAAGUAAGUGAGAUGUAAAAGUGUGUGCAGCUCCAGUGGUAAGCUUCUCAAGUUAUCGCAAGAGCCAAUACUGAUCGAUUGAAGUGAUUGAAGACGGUCUACAGGUAUCUCCGCAAGCGACUCCACUCCCAUACACGACCAAAUUUGAAGUGUCUCGAGGGUCGUAGAAAAAUACCUACUCUCGCUAAAUGGAGAGGCUGAUAGAGAAUCGCAUCCGCAUAUUUUUAAUUCUUGCAAACAAUAUAUCAUGUCACCGUGAUUAUUGAUGUUGUUGCUUGAUUCAUUCAUAUGAACACUUAAUCCUCUAGGCAAAGAUUGCAACAUUAUGCAAUCUCGGAUAUUUAGUGAUAUCAAUGACGUCAACAUACUUAUUUUGGGGAAGGAUACGAGUUUUGGACACUCCUCGACAGUCAAGUCAUGAAGAGAGGGAAUGGUGUAAAUCAUGCUUAUGCAAUUUCGUGAGUCCAUAAUCUCCAACUUGCUAGAAAACUCCAUAUCUCCUUCUCCAACUGAAAAUGAUAUCAAUUCAGGACAACUUUUGACAACUAAACUCUUCAAAGAAGCGAGAUUCCGAAUUAUAUCUCUCUCUUGCCAUAAAUACAUCAAUUUUUUACAACUUAUCAUCUCCAACUUCUCCAACUUGACCAAGGAGUUUGUAAACCCAUAAUUUAAGCAAGUUAAUUCAAGAACAUCUUGCAUGACAAGAGCAGUUAAAGAUGUCAAGUUUAUCAAACCCUUCAGCAUGCCCUCAUUACAACCUUUAAAGUUUAAUUCAUUGAGGGAUGGAAGGCUAAUGAUAGAGGACGAGGCAUCCAUAAGCGGACAAGAGUUGAUUUCCAGCUUUUUGAGGGAGCUCAGUUGACUAGGCAAUCUUCCAAUCAAUAUAGGACAAUCCCGAAUGACCAGAUGCUCAAGACAAGGGAAUAAAACUCCUACUUCUUCAUUGUCGAAGCAAUGAGACCAGUCCUCCCACGAUAGCAUGUGGUUGAAUUCCAAAGUCAUUAAAGAUGGAAAAGGACUUUUAGUUCCGUAAAAUUCAGACCCUAUUGUGUGUAUUGCAUUUAGACCUUCGAUGUAAAGUUCUUUUAGAGAAGAUAGCUGUCCCAAUGAGGCUAGCGCUUUGGCUCGACAACACCCAUGUAAACGUAAAUGCACCAUCUUAACAUAUGAGGGACUUCCUAACCAUGAUGGAAAUUCUAAGCCACUAUAGUAGGAUAUUGCGAGAUUUUCAAGUUUUGGGUGAGGGCGAAGAAAGUCAAUGACUUUUGCUUCAAGCUUUUCAUUCCGAAAAUUACCAAAAUCUUCGCACCAUUGCAUGGUCAACCGGCAUAUUCCCUCCUUCAUGCAUAAAUUGGCAUCCCUAGCAUCUCCGGCUUCUUGAAUCUUAUGCAAAUUAGAGAUGCAUAAUUCCCCUCCAAGAUUCUUUAGGUUUUUCAACUCCUUCAAUCUCGACCCUAUUUCUGUUCCCACUACAAAUUUGGAUAGCAUCUCAAGACCCACCAAAUUACCUAUAUACGACGGCAUCACUUUUAGGCUUGAAGUACCGGUCAAGUCAAGAAAUUUUAGAUUGAUCAAUUUCUCCAUACCUUCCGGUAAUUCAAUAAAGUUUCCACAACCUCGCAACAACAAAGUCUCUAGGUUGUACAAUGCAACAAUUGACUUUGGAAGCUUUUCAAUGUUAGUAUUCGACAAAUUGAGGUACCUUAGGUGUCUCAAUUUACCUAUGCAAUCCGGUGCCUCUCUGAUGUGAUAGUGACAUAAUGAAAGCACCCUCAAAAACUUCAAUUCGGAUAACAAGUCACAUAGCACUUUCUUGGACAAAUAUGACUUAUCAUAAUACUUAGGUUGCUUCACUAAUGAUAUAAAGCUCCUAAGUCCCUUCAUUCCGUGAUAUAUCUUGAAUCUUUCUUGAACAAUGUGUGGGCUAGAAAUGAAUGAGGCAUGACGAGCCAAAAAUGCAUUAUUUUGAUCACCCUCAAAGUCAAAUGCCCCCGAGCUAAAAUAGGCUGCUCCAGCAACUAGCUUGGCCAUGUCACUCACAAGAUCAUGCAUCAAGAAUCGUGAUUCACUACUACUCGACUCUUGAAGUAAUGAUCUAGAUAUUAACUCGUUAAAAAGUUUCAAACCUACAUUCCAACGAUUUUUUCCUUCUUUUCCCUCUAAUAAGCCCUCUGCAAUCCACCAGUGAAUCAACUCAUCUCGUUCAAUUUCAUAGUCGUUGGGAAUUAUAGCGCAAUAAGCGAAACAUCUUCUCAUAUUCGAAGGGAGAUGGAGGUAGCUAAGUUUCAAAGCUGGAAGGAUGUCAUUACUUUCUUGUGGGAGGUUCCAAAUUUUGCUAUCCAAUAUACCUUGCCACUCCUGGGGAUUGAUUUUAAAGCUUAGCAGCCCAGCCAAAGUCUUCACAGCUAAUGGCAACCCUUGGCAUUUAUCCACUAUUUUCAUGCCUAAUACUUCAAGAUCAGGAUGAUGAUCGAAAUUUCUUGCUCCCAAAGCAUGAAAUGCGAACAAAGUCAUACAAGCAUCUUGUGACAACGGUUUGAGAGUAUAGGGUUGAGCACGGGCUAUUUCAGCAACGUGAAAAUUACGAGUCGUGACAAUGAUCUUGCUUCCCUUUGCUCCCCAUUGAAAAGGCUUCAAGAGGAUAGUCCAGUUUCCAUAAUUCUCGUUCCAAACAUCGUCUAAAACAACAAGAAACUUCUUCCUUGCAAGGUGUUCCUUGAGCUUAUCAUGAAGCCAAUCCAGAUCCUUACCUUCACAAGACAAAUGGCCAUUGGUUGUCUCAAGGAUCUUCUUUGUAAUAGCAAGCACGUCGAAAUCAUCAGAAACGCAAGCCCAUGCUUUCACAUCGAAAUAGUCGAUGACUCUAUCAUCAUUAUAGACUUGCUGAGCCAGAGCCGUCUUCCCAAGACCCCCCAUCCCUACAAUGGGAAUCACUUUUGGAUCCACACAUGCCCUAUCAUUUUCUUCUUUGGUCAGUAAUUCAAGGAUCUCCAUUUUCUCAACCUCCCUACUAACAAAACAAGGCUCAGGCAAAUUAGUAGUGUGAAACGGCUUAUCUGCUCGACGGUAUGCUGAUUGCUUCCCAAUAUUCUCUCUCAGGUGUAGAACAUUUUUCUGAGUAAUGAUAUCAUUUAACCUGCCAUGCAUCUCUUCCAUCUUGGAUCUCAUUGUAUGACCGAACAUAAAUGCUCUUGGGCUCAAUGUGAGGCAACAACUUGGAAGAAGGGAACGCACCUUGCUAGUGCUGGGUUCUGCCUCGGACUUAUUUGCCGCGAACUCUAUGGCGAACUCCUCUAGCAAGUCUUCAAUGCCGUAGGCCAAUUCCCUGAGAUUUUUUAGCCACAAGUUCACCCCGAGAUCACCAUUCAAUUGCCUGUCCUCUGCAUCAUCCAACACCUGGUUGAUGCUGACCAGCAUCUCCUCCCAUUUUUUCAGCAGCACAUCGAUACCCUCACGCCGUGCAAAGUUGAGAAGCUCGCGAGAGGCCAACCUAUCAAACAGCACCUGAAGAAAGGCGCCAAGAAAGAGCUCUGCGAUAGGCAUGGCUUGGUUCGCAAGUGCAGAGGAUUAAAUGAGAGCGCCCGGAAGGGUUGAAAGAAAAUGGAUAGAGCCUUUCGUUUUUUCUUUUCUUUUUUUGGGGGGGGGGGGGGCAAGAGUUCUUAUUUUCAAGACGACAGCAUCAAAUGAUGGUGUGAAAUCAAAGACUUUUAAGCUAUGAGAUGACUUUCGUCUCAGGAUACUAGUGGUGGUGAUUGGUUAGUAAAGUAAAUAUAAAAUGCAGAAAAUCAUAGAUCUUUAUAACGUACUUUCUUAAGGGUGAUUCAUUGGUAUUGCUCAAUUGUUUAUAAGUCCACUAUUCUCAUCUCGAUUGAGGUGACUGGCAACUGUCUUUUUUUAUAUUUUGUUUUGGCCAGAUGACGACUAAUGGUAGUGUGCUACCAAAUUUUCAGCUUCCGAAGGAAUGAUUGGUGUUUAGUUAAGUUGUUGACUAAGGUUAGAUUACCGAGCUCCAUAAGUGGGCCCGAAUUUGCCACAUGUCGAUCCAUGUAUAAUUUACUAUAUCAUCCUACAUGGUUUAUUAAAUGCACCUUAUAUUUUCUCUCAUAGCCCAAAACUAUCUCCUCUUUCUUCCUUGGGUCUUUGUUUAAGGUUCUAAAAUUGUUGGAUUGCUAGUACGGAUUUCGGCCGUUGAUAAUAAAAUGUUCCAACAAAAAGUUGAAGUGUUUCUUUCUUCAUUCCUCCACGCUCCCCUUCAUUCAUCCUUUUCCGCACUCAAAUCUGUUUUGCUCUUUCUUCUCCUCAGCACAACCAUUCUUCCUUCUCUCCUUCUUCAGUAUCCGUCGUUCUUUACCAUCAUUCUCCCACGCGUCUCUUUGUUUUUUUUUUUUUUUUUUGUUUUGGUACCCAGAGAAUCCCGUACAGCCGGCAGCCGGCCAAGUAAAUCCUAGGGCGACGCUAGCGAAGGACCCACCACCCCGACGUCACGCGUAAGUCACCAAGCAACUCAAUCAGCCCCCUUGCUUCAUAAGGGCUUCGAACUCCUCUCCUCAGAGCGAAAGGAUUACAGGAGCCUACCCAACUGAGCUACCACGGCCGGUGGUCGUCUCUUUGUUUUUCGUUGCCCUUUCUCGGAAGAAACCACCGUUGCAUUUCAUCUCAUGUCAUCAGAUUUAAUUCCAUUUCUUUUGAUUUAAUUUCCCGAAAACCAUUUGGUCAGAAAUGGGAACCGAGUCUUGGCAUCAUUAAAUACACUCAACGCUCAGAAGGCAAAGAAGUCGGCCCGAAUUCCAAGACUUCUUUUUUAUAAUUGUUCAUCAGCUCUCUCUCACCACUUACAUCACAUAAUUCCCAAAUGCACCCAUCCACCGUCGUCAUGCAUCACAUAGAUCAUAUGGCAUCAUGGUUUUAUUGAUGCAGCCUCGUGCCGCUUUAUCAAAAAGAAGUUACUACAUAAAUUUUAGUUUAUGUAGAGCAAAUACGGUCGUGCCAUUGAUCAUAUGGAUCUCAACAUUAUUCAACGUAGUAUAAGAGCUUAAUGCAUUGAAAGCUCCAAAAAUUAUUCAAUUGAUUACUCAACAAAUGUCCAGAAAUACUUGAUAAAAAAAUCAUUUUUUACUAGUGGCUAGAAAGAAAAAACUGUUGCUUUUCUUAAUUACUAUGGUUGCUACUUAGCUUCAUUCUCUAAAAAGUACAUUACGCAUCAAAUUAGCAACCAAAUAUUGAGUGGCCAUAGAUCGAAUUAUUUUGCAAACUUUCAAGCAUCAUUUUCUUUUUCCCUUUUAUAAUGAUUAUAUUCAUAACGAGGCUUCCUCAUUAUAUUGAGUCCGUGGGUCAUAUUAAAAUAUGCUUACUGUUUUGCCAACCUAACUACAAAUCGUCCACGAGGGAAAUAUUUUAUCCAAAGAUGGACAAAUGGAUAAGUUUAAUUAAUUACAAGGUUUAAGCGGUGGUUCAAGAAGUGGGUUAGCCUGAGGACGCUGUUUAAGGGGGGUUAAGAAAUGGGAGCGGAUCUUAUGUGGAGUUGCAGAAGUUAUUCUCUAUCUACCCUCUUCACCAUGUGCGGUUUCAGGCCUCGUGUGCUAAGCAUCGAAAGAAGGGGAGGUGAUUAUGGCAGGACAUGCGCGAAAGCCAAGGAAUUAAACUUUGAUAAUUCAUGUAUUAUUUUCCUAUUUUCAUUGCUCUUUUUGAGCAAAUAAUUUAUUUAUUAAACGACAUUCUCUCUCUACCCUCUUCACCAUUCCCAGGUGCAGGCCCCAUGUGCAAAGCAUAGAAAGAAGGGUGAGUGUAUGGCAGGACAUGUGCAGAAGCCAAGGAAUCCAAACUUUUGUAAUUCAUAUCCUACUUCCUAUUUUCAUUGCUCUUUUGUACAAAUAACUUAUUUAAGCCAAGGAAUCCAACUUUUAUAAAUUAUAUCUUACUCCCUGUUUUCAUUGCUCUUUUAUACAAAUAAUUUCUCUCUCUCUCCCUCCCUCCAUGUAUAUUACUUUUCGAUUUUCUUUGCUAAAUAAUAUUUUAGUUUAUAUGUUGUUGUUCUUUCUAUGUUUGUACUUUUUAUUCUCUGGCCUCCGUUUCUCGGUGCCAAGAGAUACUUGUUCAUAGCGAAAUUAUAAGGUCCCUGUCGAGAUGCCGUCCUACCCUCAAUAAUGAGCAUGCCCUUUAGGGUGAAGUGCACUCUCCCCACAAUAAAUCAGUCACUUUUUUAAAAAGAAGUGCAUGCUUCUCGUGAAAAUAUAUCCUCUCAUUCAUAGGAAAAAAUUUCCAAAAAAAAAAAUUUGAACUUAUUAUAAUUGUGUAAUCUCAGUCCUAAGUAUUUUAAUUUAGCCAAGAAACAGAUUUAGGACUAGUGCUCAAUUCAUAUUUAUCCUUCAGCGGUGGUGGAAAGAUCUGACACUUAGACAUUGAUGGUGGUGACUCUGGCAGUAAAGUAGACACAAUUUUUUAUGGAUCGCAUUUGCUAUUACUUGCUUUUUCUCGAUUGUUUAUAAGUCCACUAUUCUUGUCUUGAUUGAGGUGACGGGCUUCUUUGUUAUUUAGCCUUGGCCGGUGACGACUUGGAGCAAUCUGCUACCAAGCUUUCAGCUUCCCAGGUAAUUGACUGAUUUUUAGUUAAGGUCUUAACUAAGGUUAAGCUACAGUGCUCCAUGGUCCAUCCCUAUCUCCUCUUCCAUCCUCAUCAUUUGGGUCUCUAUUUACUAAAUCUCGCCCAAUGAUAAUUAAAUAUUCCCGAAAAAAGUUGCUGUGUUUUUUUUCUCCGCCGAUUGCUCCUUCACACUUCCCUUCGUUCUUGUUUGCACUCGAAUAUCUACACCUUCUUAAUCUCUCAUCGUUGAUUUCAUUUGAUUUGAUUUAAUGGGAGAAAGUUGGUUAAAAACGGCACCCUAGUCUUGGCAUUAUUAAAGCGGCCGAAAGGCUAGAAUCAGACAAAAGGCUGCUCUCUCAAUUUCUUUCCCACUCCUUUUUUGUACCCACCCAUCAUCAUAGACAUUGGCAUCAUCGUCUGAUUGACGCAGUCUCGGACAUCAAUCAUAUAAGUCCCAACCAUCAUUCCAUAUUACAUGAGAACUCAGUGCAUAAAAAACUGUAUAAUUUACUUAGCUGGUCACCAAGUGUCCAGAAAGACUAGUUGAUAUUUUUUUUUUUAAAUGAUGGCUAAAAAAAAUUGUUACUUUCUCUUCAUUACUGUCAUUGCUACCUAGCUUCGCUCUCUGAAAGAUACGUUAUGCAUUAAAUUAGUGGCAAAAAAUUGAGUGGUCAGGGAUUGAAUUAAAUUGCAAACCUUCCAGCACCAUUUUCUAUUUUCUCCUUUUAUGAUGAUUAUACCCAUAAUAAAGCUUUCUCAUUUUAUUUGGUCCGUGGGCCCAUAUUAAAAUAUGCUUAUUGUUUUGUUAGCCUAACUACAAUUCGUCCAACGGAUAAAUAUUUUAUCCAAAGAUGGCCAAAUUGAUAAAUUAAAUUAAUUAUAGGUUUUAAGGGGUGGUUGAAGAAGUGAGUCAGCACGAGGAUGCGGUUCAAGGGAUGGUUCAAGAAGUGGGAGCCAGACGACAAGAAUUAUUGAGCGAAGGAGAGGAAGAAGGAAUCGAAUGCCAUCCUCUCUCUAUCCUCUUCAUUAUUGCCGGAUGCAGGCCCCAUGUGCAAAGCAUCGAAAGAAGGGUAAUUAUGGCAGGACGUACGCGUAAGUCAAGAAAUCAAACUUUCAUAAUGCCCAUGGGAUCAUUGGUCUUUUGCACAGAUAAUUUAUAUAUUACUCUCUCUCUCUCCAGGUAUAAUACUUUUCAAUUUUUUUCUUUGCUAUUUUAUUUGUAGUUCAUAUGUUAUUGUUGUUCUUUCCAUGCUUUGCACAUGGGCCCUCCAUCUAGGAAUGGUGGAGAAGGCAGGGAGAGAAUGAUGUUUGAUUCUUUCUUCCUCUCCUUCGCACGGUACUUCUUGUUGUCGUUUGGCCCCCAUACCUUGAACCAGCUAAGUACAGGACGUCAAGAGAUAAUUGUUUAUAAAGAAAUGACAAGGCUCUUUAGGCACCCCCCCCAACAAUAAAUUGCUUACUCUUUUACAGUGAUUUGCACGAUUUUGUUCACAUUAAGUGCAUAAUCCUUAAAGGCCAAAGUGCAUCUCCUUCUUAUAGUUGAGUGAACACUCGUUAUGAUCAAGAGUGAACUCCUUCUAGCAUCUAAAUUAGAAGCGUGCCUCUUUCAAUGAGGAGCAUGCCCCUUAAGCGAGUCGAUGUUGAUGAGAUACUCAUAAUGUUCUUAUUGUUCCAUCAAUUUAAUUUUGAAAUUAUCUGGAAAGUCAAUGUUCACUUUCUAUUGUUGUAAGAACUUGUUAAUCUAGACUAGAUCUUGUCCAAUACAAUUAUUUGCGAAAUAGAGAUGAGACUUUUCUAUUAUUUUAACCGUUGUUCAAAUUUAAGUGAAAGUUCCUACCUAAAAAAUCCCAAUUUAGAGCAAUUGACCCUUUUGUGCCUUGACUCAAAAUUGAAAUCCCAAUUUAGAGCAAUUGACCCUUUUGUGCCUUGACUCAAAAUUGAAGCAGGGGUCAUCUAUCUAGUGGUUGCAACUUAGCCUUUGAUGCUAUGUGCAGCCCCUAAUCCAUACUCUGCUAUAACUCCAGGGAAGGCCACUACUAAGAGUAAUUCCAUCCUCUUGUUUCCAACAAAUGGUCUCUUCUUGUACAGCUCUUUAGAUGAUCAAUGAAUAAUAAUGCUUUCCAGCAAAAUAUUAAAAAGUAUAGUUUGAUUGAUUGAUUAAACUGGAAUACUAUGCAUGUGUUGAACUUUUCUUAAUAUGCUACAUAUGAUAUGAUCCAUUUGUUUGAAGGUCCAUUUGUAGUAUGCUAUAUCACUUGGUGUAUCAAUCUAAUUGAUUGUUCCAAAAAUCAUCUAGCUUUGUCAUCUCUACAAAUGGAGAGCCCUAAUUAUCACCAGUGAUAAAAGUUCGACAAAUCGGCUCAUUGUUCUCACUACUUUGAUACUCUACUCCCCUAUUUUUUUCUAUAGCUUAAGUAGUUUAGACUCGAACAUAUCCAUUGCAUUAACAAUAUGGUAUAGUGCAUAACAGGGUCAAUCAUCCUUCAAACACAAAAUUGAAUAUGAGAAAAUAUAUAGGAUCUUCACAUUAAUCAAAUUUUUAUUUUUAAUCAAACAUCAGUUAAUUAAGACGACCUAAUACACUCAUAGUAGUCAAGUCGUUUACGGAGGGAGUUAGAAAAGGUCAAUUGAUAAUGAGAACAUGAUUAAAAUGCCACCACUUUUUCAAAGUUCCAAUAUCAAAUGUUAGGAAUUUCAAGUUUUUAUCAUUUCUUGAACUUAUUGUACUUAAUACGGUACGAUUGACUGUGAUUCCCAGUAAGGAUCCUAAUAUUUUAUGGUGUUCUUUAUUGUGCUUGAGUGCUAUGUUUUUCCCAUUGUUGCAGCAUUAUGAGAUGGUGGAAUUGAUUGUCUAUGACAGGUGUGCUAUACAAGGAAGCAGCAGGGCCAAGACUAGCAGCAUCGUCUUAUGUUAGCUUUCUUUAAUGUGAUUUCAAAUGAAUGUAAACCCACUCGAACACAAGUUGAAAACAUGAGCAAAUCUUUUCAAAGGGAUUCCCAUUAAAAGCAACUUUAGCUAAACUAUGAACUGGCUACAUUACCUUCCUUCCGUUAUUUACACCUAUACAGCAGAACACUUAUACACUACCCCGUUGGGGAGAAGCUCUAAGCACCACUAAACAUGCGAGUCGAAAGACUUUUGCAUCGGCCCAGCCAUCCUCCCUCCUCCUCUUCUUCCUCUUCAGUAUCUGUUGCUCUUUUUCAUCACUCUCUUGUCUCUAUCUUUUCGUUUGUUGGCUUUCUCCUAUCGUUUUCUUGGUCUUUCUUUCUCGGAAGACGCUACCGUUGCAUUUUAUCUCGUCUCAUUUGAUAUUUAAUUUCAUUUCAGUUGCCUCAAUUUCUCGGAAGCAAGUUGGUCGGACGUGGAACCACCAAGUCUUGGCCAUCAUAAAAGCCACCAAAGAAGGCUCGGAAGGUAAAGAAGUGGGACCGAAACUUCUGCUUUAUCAUCGUUCGUCAAUUCUCUCUCACCACUCGCAUCACACAAAGUCCCAAAUGCACCCAUCCACCAUCGUCUUGCAUCGCAUGGCUUCAUUGAUGCAGCUUCCCGAACCCCAUCCCGUUAUCAAAUAAAUGAGCUGUUACUACCUAAACUUAAUGUAUGUAAAUUGGAUCAUCAUUAAUCAUCAAUCAUAUGCAUCCCAGCCACUAUUCCACGUAACACGAAAGCCCAAUACAUUGAAAUCUCUCAAAUUUUCGUAGUUGACUACUGAACAAGUGUCUAAAAACACUUGACAGCAAAACCAUUUUUAAAUGGUGGCCAGAAAGAAGAAAAAAGGUUAUAUUCUCUUAAAUUCUGUAGUUGUCACCUAGAUAUGCUCUGCUAGGAAUACACAAUCGGAUUGGAUUGGAUGGAAAAUAAACCAGGUGGCUAUAGAUCGAACUAAAUUACAAACCUUAAAGCUUCAAUUUGUUUUUUCCCCCUUUUUGCCAAGCAACAAUGAUUAUAUUCAUAACAAAGGUUCCUUGUUUUAUUUGGUCCAUGGGUUAAAAAAAUACAUAGAUGCUUAUUGUUUUGUCCCAAGAAGAGAAGAGCUACCUAGCUUCAUUAUGCCCACCAGCCAUUCAAAUAGGUGGAAUUUGAUAUAUCCUUAUUUCAUGCCCUAUUAUUAUUAGUGUGCAUAAAUAUUACAUUAGCGGUACAAAAAUAACCAGAUCCCUAAAUUGUAGAUUUUGCUAUGGCAUCACAUCAUAACAAAUUAUCAAUGAUGGCUUGGGAUGGUGGACUAAUUGAAGUGUAUGAAAGUUGGUUUAGACACCACUUGAUCACUAAAAAAAAAAAAAAAAAAUCAUAAAUGGUUCGUGUAUCUCAAGGUCAAAUAAAAUUUGAAAUUUCAGGGCUGCACUACCAAAUAACAUAUGCUUAUGUUUAGUUAGGAGAACAGUGAGAGUACCUAACUAUGAUCUGUCCACCCACUAAAUUUUAUUAAACGUGGACAAAUCAAUAAGUUUAAUCAAUUAUGCCCUAUAAAAACAGGGUGUCAAAAGAUAUUUAUUUAUAGAGAAAUUACAAGUCCCUAUUGAAAUGCAUUCCUAUCCUAGAGAAGGUGCAUUCUCUCUAUGGCAAAGUGCACCCUUUCACAAUAAGUUGCAUAGUUUUAAGGUAAAGUGAAUGAGUUUUGCUCUCAUUCAGGUCGAGCGCACAUUCCUUAGAGGUCAAGAAUAUGCUUCCUAGGUACUUGAAUCCAGGGCAUGGAAUUGUUUGUGUGCACAGGUCUCGGAAAAGUCAGCAAAGGAGAGCAAUUGAUUCAUGUAUGAACUUACGUCGAAGUUUCCUACUAGUCUUCGCCAUUGCUUGGUGUCUGAAUUUACCUUGAAGUUUCCUACUAGUCUUCGUCAACUCGGUGCUUAGAAAAGAUCCAGGAAAAAACUGCCUUCUACCUUUCUAGAGUUCUAAUGGUUAAAUAAUUGACGCAUAAAGGAGAAUUGUAUGUCUGCAUUCUUCGAAUUUUUCAUUAGGCUAGAUCCAGAAUACUUGAUUAUCAUGUUUCCACCAAGUUUUAAUCCACUUCUUGCCUAACUCAUAAAAAUAAUAGGGUACUCUAUGAAUUUAGAGUUUACCUAAAUAAUGUAGCUUUCUUGCUGUCCAUAAAAAAACAUUCGUGUUAGCAAAUAAUUUUUUCUAUCGAAACUUAUUAAAAGAUAAGUGUAAUUAAGGAUGACCUUUUUGUGGCUUUUUCUGUGGAAAUUGUGAACUGUUGAUGUUUAAUGCGUAAACAUUCUUGUUGGGAGAACCUUCUCCAAAAUCUGGCUUUUGCAAUCACAUGGCAGAAGAACUUCUUGAUUAGCUAAGUGCAUUGCACACCUUUGUCCAUUGUGAUUAGUCUUUUUGGCCGAACAACCACAGCCCCACCUGCCCCCCCCCCCCCCCCAAAAAAAAAAAAAAACAAAAACAAAAACCCCUACCGCCUAAAAAAAAAAAAAAAACAAAAAUGACAAAAGUAGAAGGACAAAUUUGUGGAUAGUCUAAGGUACAUUCAUUGAUUCAAAAAAUAAAGAAGAAGGUACAUUCAUUGAUGAGGCCACGAGAGAAUCAUGGUCGAGAUACACACGCGUUACAUAUUUCCAAUGCCGAAUCAUCCUAAAUGAGGGGGUUUCAUUGAGCGGGUAGGUGUAAGAAUUUCAACAUCUCUUAAUCUUUUGAAAAGGGUAGUGUGUUGUCAACAAGAAGAAUCAAUUGAGUAUGUCUUGAAUUCUCUAUGGAGUUGGGCCAACAUUAGGGAUUAAAGCAAUAUAAAUAUCAGUAUUAUUGAGUUAUUAGAUUAAGAAGUUGAGAUAGAAAAAGUUUUGUAAUCAUUGAUUUCCUAUAAUGGAUUUUGUUUCUUCUCUCUCCAUAAUUUUUUCCGCAAGGGUUUUCCAUCUAAAUUUGGUGUUCUUUUAUCACAUUUGCUAUCACAAACUAUAAAUCAGCCAUCUUUAGUCAGUUAACUAGCACACGGAACCAAAAAGAAUAGAGAGAAAUAACAUAAGAUAAUACUGGGAGACCCACCAAUAGUUUACUAAAUUGGUAAAGUGAUAGUGAUAUAUUUUUAUUGACGGUGAAUAUGACCUACUUACUAAUCUCAUUGGAAGAUCAACCCAGCAUUUUUAUGUAAAAUCAAUAUUAUAGCAUACGCAUAUCAGAUAAACGUGAGUUUAAAACAUGAUGGUUUUUUGUUGAGAUUUUUUUAUUAUCAUUGUUUUUCGUGCCAAGAAUUGCCAAUUAAAUAAAAGUUUAUAGUUUUUAGACAAUUACAUAAAAAUGAGGGAAAAAAAGCUUGAAGGUGGGAGAACGCAAGGGCAAGAGCAUCCUUGGAAGGCUACUUUGCCCUGUUUAUGUUCAACGACUGGGUCAACUAUUUCAUUUUAGUGUAUUAGAUUAGAAACAGGUUUACAAAGUUUGCGUAUAGGUCGGUCUUUCAGGUUUUCAUGUACUUCUCGAGGGGAUGAGAUCCUUUGUCUCUAUUUGUGUCCCCAUGAUUCGGUAAUUAGUAUCUUAUUCAACAAACUUGUAAUUGAAUGUAUUAACAGAUUGUUGAGACGGCAAUAGAGAAGUCAUGCAAGACAAAGAAUCUCUAACUUUAAGCGACCAGCACUUGUUAACUGUAACCCUUUACCAUCAAUUUUUAGAUCCCAACUCUCCCACGAUAAUUUUUCCUUUUAUUUAUUGCUUUUCUCCUGCCCGUCACUUGAAUUAUACGCUAAAUUAUCUCAUUCUUUCUAUUGUGCAUUCAUUUCUCAGGAUAAUACCUAAUCAUACAAAGGUCUUGCAAUAUAUAAAUAAAAAAACCCAAAUAAAUCACUUUCAACAAUGACGUGGUGUGUUUAUCAUUAGGAUUUAUCUAAGAAGCACGGCAAAUGGGGUAGGAUUAAAUGUGAUUUACAAUGAUGAUAUAAAUCUCUUAUUUUAUCCUUGUUUUCAUCAGACAAUUUAUUCUCAAUUCAGGUUUAAUGAUAUUGGUAAGCUAAUAAAGCUAGUUCUCGAAAAGAAAAUGCUGUUGGAAUUUGUGAUUAGAUAGUAUCUAUAUAACAUACUCAUAAUUUGUCUAGGUCAGAUUGCUAGCGUGUCAUAUAAAAUGCUGACAAUGACUGGAGCGCCAUUUUAGCAAUUUUAGGUGAGAAUUAGGUAGAACAAUUAUAUUAAAAACUCAUACAAAGAUCUAGAAUGACAUUGUUAAAAAAAAUUAAAAAAAAUUAGGACUACAUUGGAAUCUAUAAAAUAAACUUCUUCAAAUAUGAAUUGAGGAUUUCUUGUUCGAAAAGUUUUGGCAUCAAAAUGAAUGCAGCGCAAAAAUGAUGACAAUGAUAUCAUUCUUAUCCCCUCUUUUUGGGAUGAGGUUUUGUAAAUUUAGGAUCAUCUUAUCUUUUCACAUCUCAUAUAUCCAUCCUUUGUUUUAUUCAAACACGAAUAAGGUCCAUAGUCCACUAUAGGUCCUUAAAGGACAAUAAUGUCUACUUCUCCCUUCACUUUUGUUCCCUCAAAGUAACACUAACAUCAUGAAUCAUUUGUAGCGGAAAACGUGGUGCGUUUCAAAUAGACAUGCCACAUUUGAUUUGGAUGAACUUUUGUGAACUUGGGACCAUCUUCAUCUUGUCACUUCUUGUAGGUCCAUAUGUUAUUUCAUUCAGACAUAAAGUAGCGAAAUUCUUUAUAAUAAGGUCCACCCUCCACUACAAGUCCCUAGCCAAAACCGUGGCGCGUUUCAAAUGGACAUGUCACGUUUGAUUGGAUGAACUUUUGUGAACUUGGACCAUUGUCAUCUUAUCACUUCUUGUAGGCCCAUACGUUGUUUUAUGCAGACGCGAAGUAGCAAAAAUCUUACAAUAAGAUCCACCCUCCACUACCAAUUCUUAGAGGACAAUAGUUGUCUUCUUUUCCCUUGGCUUUUUCCAAAAGCGACUUUAACGUCACUAUUGGCCAUGACAUGUUUGAUUGGAUAGGAAAAAGUUCACUACAACCACGGCUUUUUGUCAAUCAAAAUAACCAAAGCUUCUCUUUUAAAGGAAUUACCUUUAGGAUGCUUAUUAAUCAAUUAAUUAAAGUUUUAUUGUAUUGAUUUUUCUCCAAAACAUGUAGGACAAAAUUUUUGGAAAUGAAUAAUUCAUUAUUAAGUAAAGUGAACAUAUACAUGGACCUAUAAUCAUCUUUGCUUUCGAAACAACUAGAAUUUGAUCUACACAGUCACGCAAGAUGGAUUAAAAUUUACACCUCAACACUUACAUAUUGUUUUUUGGGAUUUGUUUCAUUAUUUUAGACAAGGUAUCAUUCGCAAAAUAUCAUGAAUGUCAUAAUUACUAAGUUAAUACUAGAUAGAAAAAAAUCAGCCAAUACAAGAAAAUGCAUAUAAGUCAAACUAAAAAUAUACGUGUUUAUCCUUUACCAAAAAAUAUAUAUAUAUAUAUAUAUAUAUAUAUAUAUAUAUAUACGUGUUUAUCUUGAUUUUUGUUGCGAAAGAAAAAAUGAAUAACAACAUUAAUCAGAAAAUAGAAAAGUAAAAUUGGAAAUCAAAUUUACAUAGUUCGGUCAAUAUAAUCUCGUACAUGAGGAGAGCAACAUAAGAUUUCACAAUUGAUGAGAGCAACAUAAGAUUUCACAAUUGAUCAAGUGAUACUAUGGAGGUUAGAAAUACGCUCGAGUCACUCAAAUACUUCGACGAUUUUUUAGUCACCACUUAUACUCAAUAAUUCACAUAGUAUGUAGCCUACACAAUUCCUUACGAAACAAUAUGUAAAUCUCACAAAGAAAUCAUAGAAGUCUCACCAAGAUUUACAUAGCUAUUAAACACUUGGUGAUUAGUUGUCUCUGAAUAUAAUUAACAAACUUAUACGCAAUCUUGCAUGUUGAAGUUGAAGUAUUCACUGAAUUUUUACGAAAAAGAACUCCGCAGUCUUCCCCUCUAAUUAAAAAAAAAACAAAAGAACAGCCUUCCUCGAAAGUGGAAAAUAUGGUCGAGUUCAAGUAUUCACUACGUACUCGUAGAUAGGAGCCCAAAGAAAGACACAGCAUUUGGCAAUAAUGCAAUUGAGUCACUUUGGUACAAUGCUUUUGCAAUUCUAAUGAACAGGUCGUCUCCUAUCAAUCCCCGCUCACACCAUUCGCUUGGAGUAGGGAUUGACCAGCUUUAUAACCUUAAGGCCGCGAGGCUUGCAGGUCAGGCCUGCCUCCUCAAAACAUAGUACCAACCAGUCAACGUUCAAACCGGAUCCCUUAUCACUGAAGUAACUUUCUAAUGUGCUGGAGUAGGAUGAGCUAUAGGUACUUCCUUAUCAUUAUUAUGCAUCAUCAAAUAUUUCAUCGCCAAACAAAUUUUAUUCAAUAUGAUUGUAAAGUUCACUAUGCAAAAUAAAGUUCUUGAAUGUCUUAUAUCUUAACGCUCAGUAACUCGCUACGGCAGGUCAUUUUAUAUAAUUCAUUCCAUACAGCAGGGGAUAUGGUCCCGUACUUUCCUAUCAUUGCAUAUUCAUUAUCAACAAAGUGCAACUUCAGACAAUACAGGCCUCCGAGACCUCUUAAGUCAGUCUCGAUCCCCAAGAGCAUCAAUCUUUCCUUGACAAUGAACUGAAUAAAGACUGAAAUAUAUAACCUUGAUAUCAAGCUCUUCAUUGCAUAGACUCUUCUGCGAUCCCCCCUCCAUGUAGAUGCAAAAUGGGAGAACCAGAUUCUAACCAAACAACCCCCCUUACGUUUUCACUUCUUGCCGCGAGCCCUUCCUCCAUGAUAUGCAGGAAAAAAAGAAUGGACUAAUGGAAUCUCCUCCUGUCACUGCAGGUAUGAACUCAGAUCCCGCUCAGUGCAUGAACAUCUCACUCAUCAACUCAUAAGCAGAGGGCACAUCAUGCAAGGGAUGGCCUUUCUGGUUUCUCUCGAUUAUCCUUCUUGCCAGGGAAACUUGCUUCCCAACUGCAAAGACAAACGCUUUGCCUGUCCCUCCAGCCCCUCUCGCUGUUCUUCCAACACGGCGGACAUAUUCGCUUGGAUCGCGCGGGAAGUCAAAGAGAAUAACAUGAUCCACUCCGGUAAAGUCGAUUCCUCGUGACGCCCUGCCAUAUAGUUGAAAAUUCAUCAGGAUCUUGCAUAUACUUAAUGAAAGAUGAGACUGACAUGACUUUGGUAAAUUUGUAUGUGUCCAGUGAUUGCCCCAAUAGUUAAAAGCGGCUGCCUUUCAUUUGACCACAUCACAGCCAGUGCUGUUAAAAGCACCAGGCCAUCUUUAAGAGGCUAAGAACCACAAUGCAUCAGGCGCUAGGCUGAAUGAUGGGAGGUGCUAAGUAAAAGUGGGGAUUAAUCCAUCAAGAAACAAAUUAGUAGGUCUUUCACACUUAGAAUCACAUUAAUCGAGGUCUGCAUCGUAACAAAUACUGCAGUGGUGCAAGAUGUUGCGAGUGUAUAAUAGUUAACAAAGAAGACAGAUUACACGAUUAGUAGAUUGACAUUCAUUGUUUAUUUUUUUGUUCCGUCCUUCCUCACAAGCUUUGGAGGACAAUGGAACGAGAGAGAACAAUUGUGGCCAUUUUGAGAAAAAAGAAGCUAAAGAUCUUUCAGCUUCUUAGAGCCUAGAAGCUGUCCUCCACUUCCAACAGCUCUCUCAAAAAGAUAUUUACCUAUUCUCUUCUUUAUUUUUAGGGAUAAUGACACAAAUGGUCAUUGAGCUUAAUCCGAUGUGCAAUAUGGUCCAUGAACUUUUAAUUUUUUUUCAAUAGGGUCCCUAAACUUUAUCCCAAUGAGCAAUGCGGUCCCUGAACUUUCAAUUCAAUUGUGGUUCCUAAACUUUCAAUACAUGUUCAACUUAAUCUCUAAAUUAUAAGAAAAUGUCCAAUAUUGUCCUUUCAUUAAUUAAAAAGUAGAAACUACAUUGAACAUUUUCAUAUAAUUUAAGGACUAAACUGAAUAUGUAUCAAAAGUUCAUAGAUCAUAUUAAAUAAAUUGAAAGUUUAGGAUCACAUUGCAUAUUGGGCUAAACUUCAAUGACUAUUUAUGUCGUUUUCCUCAUUUUUACUAAGGACAGAAUAAAAAAGUCAAAGAAAAAAUGUCGAGCUAGACAGAUCUUUUCUGAGGCAACAUCUCAUAGGAGGAGCACCUCACCUCCGGUGCUUACCUCAAAUGAGGAAACCUUGCCCAAGCUGAGAUGAGAAGCAGAGGCUUCACCUCGCUUUGCCUGAGCACCUAGGUGAGUCCCUCAAGUGUUAGCUAAUGCUCAGCUCUUGCCCAUCAAUGCAAUUGAGCUGAGCCCAAUACCCAAAAAGUUGCAAGUAUACAGGCCCAAUAAUUCGAAAAAUCCACAGAAAAGGCCUAUCCCAGCCAUUGCUAUUUUCAUCUAAUUCUUAUUGAUACCGACUAUGUUAUAAUUGUGCAAGUUUGAACUGAUAACUGAAGGCCUGGGUCUUGGCAGGCCACGCAUAGUUUAAUUAAAGGCUUACUUUUAGGGAUCAAGCUCAGCGGCUGAGCAGAUAUAUCUCUAGAAGCAUAGCCUGAUUAGUUUCGGACAAAGCAACUAUACAUACCUGUCGGUGCAAACCAAAAACAAGGAGACAUCUUUAGAUGGAGAAGCAGCAAACUCUUUCAUAUUUGCCUGCCGCAACUCUUGUGAAACAGCAGCAUGAAAAGGUAGAACUCUUGUACGAGCGCCCUUUCUGUCAAUGCGCUUCAACGCAUUUUCAACUUUUCGACAUGUCUCAAUCUGUUUAUGGAGAAUAGGAAGGAUGAGUUAAAAAGUAAUGACGAGUCCCCCAUCCAGGUGGCUUCAGAACCAUCUCUCAAACUCCAGGUCAGGAGUUAGCAAGAUGGCAGGAGAGAGGUAAAUGUAAUGAUGAAUCAAUUUCAACAGCUUACACUGAAAUAUCAACAUACCUUGUUACAGAAUACAAUUGUUUUGGUUACCGGGCUUUCUUCCGCAAGCUGAAUAAGAGCAGACUUCUUAUUCAGGAAUGCAGUAUCUGGAGUCUUCUCACUGCCUUCCUCUCCACUACAAUCUACAAGAAACUGGACAAAACGUUUAACAGUUAAAUUUUUCCUCUAUAACAAUGGUAUUCGGUUGGUUGUCUUCUUGACAGGAAAAUAGAAGGAAUGCCACUGGUCAGCUACCAGAGCAAAUUUAUGCAACAUGUUCAUCAAGGGGGAAGGACAAAGCAAUUUCACAUAACAGGAGAUAACUGUUCAACCUGAAUGAGAAAGCUCCUAGCCUAUCUAGGAUCACUGUUGCAGAAAUAAUCUGAAAACCAACAAACAGGCAAAGUGACACAGAAAGAAUUUUCGGGAUAACUGCACAAACUCUUCUGCACAUGGAGGCAAAGUGACAUAGAAAGAAUUUUCGGGAUAACUGCACAAACUCUUCAGCACGAUCAAUGAAAUUUCAGAGCCGAUCCUAAUAUAAUCCACAAUCAUCUCAGCACGAUCAAUGAAAUUUCAGAGCCUUCUCCUUCUCUUCAACUCUGCUUUUACCAUAAGAAUAGUAUAGACAAUCAAUCCAUAUGUGCUAAGAGUCAUUCAAGGGAAAAAUUUCAUUCCACUUCCCUUCUUCCCCCGUCAUAUGCAGUAACAAGCCACCCCCAAAUCCAAAGCAUCAAGGUAACCAUGCUCCAUCACUUUUAGGGAGCAUAAACGACAGCUUAGUUUUGAGUAAUAUAUAGCCCAAAAGCAUCCAGAAAAAAUGUACAUACACGAAAGUGAAUCCUGUGUGCCCAAAUUAGAUUACAGUAAUGUAUCUGCUGGCAAAUUAUGGAAGGGGAACAAUACAGCUUUAAACCAACCUCUUCGAGGUGAGGGCUUGUCCGAUGAAUGCCAGGUCCCAUGAUCACUUCACAGUCGGGGAGAAUUUCAACUAUUUUGUUAUAUAUAUCUACCGGCAAUGUGGCUGUCACAAACAGAUACUGUGUGGCGACAGGUGAAGAAUUGAUUAUGCUUUGAAAAGCUGCUUCAAACUCCUCAUCUUUGCAGAGAAUAUCCACCUCGUCCAAAAUCACGCUGCGCCAUAAAGCCAUAAAUUAUAGCAGAAGUUGCAAAACAAUCUGCAAUAUGUAUAAUGAUGCCAUUCUUCUGUUUCUGAGUACAUUAUAGCCACUUAAAUGUAGCAUAGCAUGGACUGAAAUCUGCUGAAUGCCAAAACCAUCCAGGUUUUGAUGUCAUUCAAAUUCUUAGCAGGCAAAUCCAUUAACAAAAUAUUUUUUACCUUCAUAUCCUAUAUCAAACAAUAUGACAAGUGGAGCUUUCACAAUUUGUCACCGGUCAUUUCUCAAAGCUUACUAUUGGGGCUAACGAAUAGCAAUAUAUCUAGCAUUUUUCUAAAUCAAAGCAAAGGUCUCCAUAACUCAAGCCAGAAAAUUAAGAUUCAGCUGUGUAGGUAAGGGUAAGAAUAGAAAUUUUGCUAAUAUUUUCCUUUCCUCAAAGAAUGGUAAUGAUACAUGGUGGUAGUACUAAAUCUAGAAAGAAGUAGCACGAUCACAUUCAUUACUCAAAAACAGAUGAGAAGACGAUGGUUUUGAUUAGCAUGUGCCCCCAAACUCAAUCAUGCAACAUUAUACAAUGCAUAGGCUUACCAUCUAAGAUCCUUCAACGUCAAAAAGCCUUCUUUAACGAGAAAAAUAAAGCGACCAGGAGUGGCUAUUAGGACAUCAACACCUUCUUCUAUAUUUUCCAGCUGCGUUUUCUGCCUGAAACCACCCGUGGCAACCAUAGACCGGAAUGGAGCCCCAAACUUUGAUAUGGAUCGGCAGUUACUCAAAACCUGCAUAAAACUUACUAUAGAUAUUAAGUAUCACUCAUGUGGGCACAAAAAUUUACGUUAGUUUGUAAUCAGAAACAAGCAUGACUAUAAAUAAAACAACUACUGAGUGUCUCCAAAUUCAGAACACCUACAUUUUCAACAGCUCCAUGGAGAUUACCGGUUUUGCCACGUGAAUGGAUUAUGCACAUCAUAUAAGCAAAUGUGCCACUCAAAUUGUAUAUUUGUCUUUCCAGGAUCCCAAAACAAUCGUUCAGAUUGCAACACUUAGGAAUCUCUAUAUUUUAUUUUUUUGGAAAGAAGAGAUGACAAUUUGAGUAUUAUAGGCAACAAGUUGUUCAAACGAGCUUGACUGCCACCGAAAAAAUUUGGAGAACUUUUUUACCACAAAUUUGCUGCUUAAGCAACAGCCUAUCACAGUAUGGGAUGAGAGCUUAAAAUGGCCAUAAACUAGUAAAAGUUGGUGACUUGCUUGCCAAAGCACGUAAGGGUAAAAGAAGAGGCACAAAUAAGGAUACCAACUACCAACCUGAGAAGCUAACUCAGCAGUUGGCACCAAAAUGACAACUCGAGGGCUUCGUGAGAAGGAUUUGCUAAGUCCUUGCAGUUCUUCUUGUCUGAGACGUUGGACUACUGGUGCAAGAUAAGCCAGCGUUUUUCCCGAGCCACUCUGAUCAGCUAUAAUACAAGUAUUUCCCUCAAUUACAGGUUUGAAUGCCAUUGCCUGCAGUCAUUCAUAGUUAGCAUCAAUCUGAGUUGCAGUACAAUAGGAGAAGAUCUUCCUUUUGUCAAGUUGUAGAUAGAACAUCUUGAUGUAAUUACUUAUCAAUACCCAUGAGAAGGAAAAGACAAAAACUGAUGCUAUAGGUUGGCCCUUCAAUGACUUCCACAUCCAUCAGCUCCAAAUUCACACUUACAGAUAAAAUAUUGAUGAUGACAAAUGCAGGCUUACCUCUAGAACUAUACAGAAACAAGGCCAUCAUUGAUUUAAAGCCCAAUGUGGAUAUCAUGCAGAUGGUAUAUAUAGCGGAAAUGAUUAAAACAUGCUCAAGUUUAGUAUACUGAAAACUAAAAAGGCAGUAAGAGAGCAACAACCAAGUUUCUUCCAUUUACCAGCCAAAAAAGAGAAAACAACAAGUUGAAACCUUUGACUUUGAGUAGGUCAUACUAUUGAUGUACCUGAAUAUGUGAGGGGUGCAGAAACUGCUGCUUCCUCAAAGAUUCAAUCAUAUAGUCACUACAACCCAAUUCUUCAAAGGACUUUCGACUAUAGAAGUCACUAUUGGAGGAAACUUUCCUAUGCAAAUUUAGAUCUUUUGACUCAGAUCUAAAGUCAUCCACGGACAAGCCCCUGCCCCAUCCUCUGAAAUCUGCAUUAGAACUACGAACUGAAUGCUCUGUUCCAACUACUCUGGUGGCAGAUAUGCCGUGUUUAUUGGGUUCCAUUCGGUGCACUGAAUGAUCCACAUCUGCAUUGUCAGUCCUCCCUGCAGCGUCUUUGGCAGCUUUGGAUCGGUAGGCACCUGAAUCCUUUCCUUUAAGUCCAAGGAUAGCUGCUUCCUUCUUUUUCCCCUGUUUGUCCAAUUUGGAAUAAGAGAGAUCAGGCACAUCAAAAGGUACAUUUUCUAUUUCUUGUUCAUAAUCCUUGUGGCUCGCUUCCUUUAGCUUGGAAGAUUUUUCAGCAAGAGCUUUGACUCUCUGCGAUUCCAAUCGUCCAAAACUUCUGCCCCUCACACUUGCUGCGGGAGAAUCAUCUUUUGGCAGCGUUGAGCCAUGAUGAUCGCCUGCAAAAGAAGAAAUGACUGUCAGAAUUCAUUUUAUCGAUGUAAAAACAAAUUCAUCUCCAAGCUCCGACUUUACACGUUACACAGAGGGAUUAAGUACGCUGUGAGAAAAUCUAACACGGAUUGAAAUGGGAGAGAAAUUUCUAACUUGUUUGCAUAUAUUCGUUUUCGAGCCAAACUAAGAAAACUAAAAUCUUUUGCCCAAGACUGCACGAGUCAAAUAAGCUCCAAAAGAAGAACUAGUGUUGGACUUGUUAUGCAUCUGAACACAAUGGUUCAGCUUUGGCAUUUGCACAGCACGAAAUGCAUAUAACAAAUUGCUUGAGUUGUUCCAACGGCUCAGGUACCAAUUAUCAAAAAAAAAACAAAAAAAACAAAAAAUAAAAGGGAAUUCGUCAUCAGAACGGACCGCAUUAGUUAUUCAAUUUGCUCAUUCACAUCAAACACGUCUACAGUUGAAUGCAAACUACGCAAGGUAUAGCUCAAUCACUGAGAUAUAAUCUAACCUAACUUUUAGCUCAGCAACCCAAAUGAGAGUACGCUAGUAACAUCAAAUCAUCGCCCCAAAAAGAUAGCGAAAGUAAGACACAAAUCCCCUUUAUUAUUUUAAAACAAAAAACUACCCAUCAUCCACAUGACCAAAGACUCGAUUCGCAGCGAAGCAUCACCUCCACUAGAACCGCCGCCGCCGCCGCUCUUCCUCGCGGGCUUCCACCGGAGGACGUCCUCGGGCGGAGCCGGGGAGUCGACCGGGUCGUCGCUGCCGCCCCAGACGAUGAACCGCUCGCCCGUCUCGUCGUCGAUCAGCUGGUAGGCCCCCGGAGUGUCCAAGGGCGUCCUCGUGUAGCCCCCCGACCGGACGGCGAAAUUACGGGUCCCGCCGCCGGGAAGGCGGCGGCGGCGGCGAGCGCCGAGGGCCCGGGAGGCGAGGGGACGGGGGCGGAAGGAGAAAGGGUACGCGACGGAGCUGGAGGUGGAGGUAGAGGUGGAGGUGAAGGGUGUGGAGUUGAGGCUGAUGGAAGG
rnacentral:lncRNA from 1 species